rnacentral:lncRNA from 1 species
UCGAACUCUCUGUAAGUUCCCAAGCCAUGAUGGAAUUUCCCCAUUCAGACGGUUGUAGCUUAAUUGAAGGAUCCUCAAACGAUGCAAUUGGCCAAAUUCUUUAGGGAGAUGGCCAUAGAAAUGGUUGCUACUCAAGUCGAGAGAGAGUAGAAAUGAAAGAUUUCCAAGGUGUGGAGGGAUAGUACCCCUAAGAUUCAUGCUUGUAAGAUUCAAAGCUAUAACUCUUUUAUGGAGGAUGCCACAAGAAACACCAAUCCAAUUGCAAACAGAGGUUGAGGCCGUCCAAUUGUUUGCCAAGACAUUUUGAGGACCGGCAAUGCGAUCCUUAAACUCGAGAAGUGCAAACUGAUCGGAGUUGAGAUUCCUGACUGUCAUACCCCAGCAAAGUCCGGAACAUGGUAUGAAUAAAGCUAAAAGAAGAUGAAAGCAAGUGUUGUAGUUCAUGAUAGCAAGACGGAAUAAGCCAAGAAAAUAAAAAAAAGUAGGACAAGGGAAGUUGAGUUGAUAAAAUAGUUUGGAUGAUGAAGAAAAGCCCAGAGAGCAUGCUUUAAUAUGUUUUGAAGAAAUUUCAAAAUAAAUUUCAAAAUAAAUUUCAAAAUAAAAAUUUAAAAAGGAAAGCAAAGUUUUGAAGAAAUUUCAAAAUAAAUUUCAAGUCUUCUUCUUUAAAAAAUACGUACAAAGAGCGAAUUUUCAAAAUUUUUCCUAAAUUUUCUUCACAUUACUCCACAUAAUCCAUUAAAAAAACUUAAAAAAUAUAUUUUAUUAAUUACUAUACAUUCUUUUAUUUUCAGAAUAAUAAAUUGUUUAAAAUUUGCUAUUAGUCCCUAUAAUUUAAAAGUUAAAAAAAAUUCAAUCCUCCUACUUUUCUAAUUUAAAAAUUUUAGUUCAAUCAAUUUUAAUUUUAAAAUCUCUGUAUAAAAGGUGUUUUUUUUGUGACCGAUCACACUUAACCAAUAUUUAAAAAUUAAUAAAAAAUAUUUUUUUUUGAAAUUUAAAGUGAUCUAAAAACAUAUUUUUAAGUGCUUUGGACCGUCUAUUGUUGAUUUCCUUAUUAUAUUAAGUGUUUGCAAUCACUCCUAAUAUAUUGUGCUUGAGUUGUGACAAAGCCGAUCAUCAAAUUGCCAUAAUGAUCUAUUGAUGCUGAAAUUGAAGUUUUUGUUAUAUUGAUAGAGCUUGUCCUUCAACGCGUACAACGUGUUUGUUAUUUUUCUCCCUUCAAAUUGUAUGAUCUUAUUCAUUAAAUGAAUUAAUGAAUUUCCCUUUUAAAAAGAUAUAUUUUUAAAAAUUAAAUACUUUAUAAAAUAUUUAAAAAUUUGUAAGCCUUAAAACAAUCAACAAAAUAUUUUUGAAAUUUUAUAAAUAUAUUUUAAAACUAUAGUAACGCUACAAAAUAUAUAUAUUUACUAAUUAUAUGCACCUUUUUUAUUUUUAUUUCCUAACAUAUCAUUAUUUUCAACACUAUCGUAAUCCUGUUUUGAUAAUUCCCUUUCCAUACAUCCUUUUUCUACAUAGAAUUUCAAAAGAAAAUGUGAAUUAAUGUAAACGUGAGAAGACUUAAUUACAUUUAUUAGUUUAUCAAUCAAAACUUAAUUAGAAUCCAUCAAUAUUUCACACAUCAAAAACCCAAACAUAAAAUUCACUUUUAAAUUAUUUGAAGAUACAUUUGUAUUAUAGGAAAUCGAUUAAAUUAGUCUUUUAUUAUUAAAUGUAUUAUUUUAAUCUUUGUAUUAGGUAUGAAUGAUAUCUCCUAAAUUGAAGCCAGAGCUAUUCUUGAAAGACUGAAAUUAGGAUUCAGAUGUGUUGAGAUGGAAAGUGACAACACAAUGUUGAUUGAAACUAUUUGUAACAGGUUGACUACAAUAAGUAGUGCUGCCGAAGUAAGACAGAUUCACGAUUGGUGUUCCAAAAAUUGGGAAGUCAAAUUUAGACAUAUUCAGCGGAAUGCCAAUAAAGUUGUUGAUUGCAUAGCUAAGGCAAAUGGAGGCGUAAUUGAGCAGCUGGUUAUCUUGGAAGAUCCUCUGCAUUAUGUGAGAUGGUAGCUUGAAGAAGAUAUUAGACAGUCACUAGUGACUGAUGAUAAUUUUCAUUUGGACUGAUGAGCGCUUAAUUUUCUAAGCUUAUGUUCAACAAAAAAAAUUUUAACUACGUUUAAAUUGUAAUAGAGUUAACAUUUAGUGUUUAAAAAAUAUCUUAAAAAUUAUUAUUUUUUCCAAUUGCAGUUCAAUUCCACAAAUAUCGACGAUGAAUCCGGACAUAAAAAUUAUAGAAAAAAAACACAUCUAUUAUCAAACCAACAAUCCAUGUCUAAACUUAAAUUAACAAAAUUUGCCACGCAACGCCCAGUACACUAUUAUAUAUAUACUAGAUUUAUUCUAGAUGCACAUGUUUUAUUAUAUUUAAAAUUUAAAAUAUAUGGUUGACUAAGUGUUAGUUGAGUUAGUAUUGCUAUUAUUGUCAGUGUAAGGAAAUGUGAGUUUAAUUGCGCUCAAAUGUGUUUUAUCCUCCAAUUCAAGGGUUAGGAAAAGGUUAUUGAUAAUUAAGUUAUACCAACUUUUAUGAUAUUAAAAAAAGGAUUUAUAAAUAAUAUAAGGAAAAGAAAGAAAGAGAAACAUAUUCAUAUUGAUGGGCUCUUUCAAUAUUAGACUUUUUUUUCUAUCACAAGUAAAAAUAUCAAAGGUGAUAAUAAUUAAAUUAUAAAAUUUAAAUUGAGAAAAUAGGGGAUUGAGUUUAUAAGUUUUAAAGUAUAAAGAAUGAAUAUAUAACUAACAACAUAUUUUAACCACAUAAUAAAAGUAGUUAUGGUAAAAUAAUGACCUGAAUAAUUUUAAACGUCUCAUCCUUGCAAAAAUGAAAUAAUAGAAAAGAAAUAAGUGUUGGGUGUAGUGGCAAUGUACAUCAUACUUCUAAGGGGAGAUUAGGGUUUUAGACAAGGGAAGAAUUUUAAACUUGCUCUUUUCUCUAGAACUCAACGCAAACCUCAAAUUUAUCUUUUUAAAAGAAUUUAAAAAUAUGUAUAUAAAAGGUGAUUUUUUUACCGAUCACACUUAACAAAAUUUUAAAAAAAAAUGAAAUUUAAAGUGAUCUAAAAACAUAUUUUUAAGUGCUUUAGACCAUCCUGUGCUGAUUUCUUUAGUAAUUUGAUUUGUUCAAUAUAGAUUUUGGUAACUUAAAACAAAAUUAAUAAAAAAUUAUUUUUUUAGAUAUCUUUUUAAUGUUUAAUAAUAAGUUAAUUUAUAAAAUAUACUUUCAUUGGACACAGGGCCUCCAAGGCGGUGAACCACUAAUCAAAUUAAUUUUGAGAUACUUAAAUUUGUUUUCAUCAAUUAAGAAAUUAAAAAAAUUGUUGAGACCUCAUGAUUAUGUUUUAUAAUUUCAGGCUUAUCAACUAUUUUGAAAAACAACAAAACGUCUUACACCAAAAACUAAAAAAUAAAAACGUCGACAUUAAAUUUGUUGGCAUGCAAUCAAUUUUAAGAUGGUUUUUGGAGUUAUAUAUCACCUUAGCAUUGACUUACUUUUCUACAGUUUGUCUUCUCCAACAAGUUAAAUAUUUCAAUUUUAACAACAUUGACAGGUCUUUGGGGUAGGGUCGAGCAAAAUUCAAUAAAAACAGAUGAUAUAAGUUGAGUUGGCUCGGCCAAGUCGAGUCGAUUUGUUCAAAUUAUUUAAAUUAGUAAAUUUUAGGGUGCAAUUAGAAUUUUUUGUUUUGAGAUGCUAAUUAGAUUAAAAAAUUUCAGUUGCUAAAACAAAAAAAUUGUAUUUAAAAAGGCAUAAAUUAAAUAAUUAAGUUUUUCGAGUUUCCAUUUAAUCAAAGGUUAAAAGGACUAAAUUGAAGCUUUUUAUUUUUAAGAAAGGCUGAAUGACAAAUUGCCCAAAGCCCAUGGCCCUAGCUAUACAACUAACUUUUCUAUGAUUAGUCCUUGGUUUGCUUUGGGUGAAAUCUUCCAACUAGCCUCAUCCUUGGUUUUACUUUCCAACAAUUAGUGUAUCGCGGGUUUUGUUUUCUUUAAAAAAUAUUUGUGGAUAUUAGGAGAUAAUGAAAAUUAUUUUACUAUGAAAUUUUAAUAAAACUGGAAAAUAAGUAAUUUAUUUUAAGAGAUCACAAUUAAACGUUAGAUUUCCCCUUUUUAAAUUAUAAAUUUUUUUUUGACAAUUGCAUAAUAUUUUGAGCGUUGUAGGAAUGCCAUAAUAUAACCUUCCCUACGCAUAAUCGACUCUUGAGCAUGAUGGAUCCUAGACCUUCUCCUCUAUUCUCGUACCACAAAUUGCUUCAAGUGUGGGUUCGAACAAUCACAAAUUAAACGCAAAACCAAAAAUGAUUUAUUACUUUCAAUAGCAAAGUAAUUCUCUCUCAAUAGAAACCAAUAGAAUUGUAAUUCCUAGAAAAUAAAAUUUAUUUUUUGAAAAUAUAUUCUCACUACUUUCUAGCAGAAUAACAAUAUGUGAAACUUAUGUCUUGUGUUAAUAGCUCUACCAGUACUAUCUAUUUAUAGGGAGAGACACGAGAAUCCUGGUUGAAUUAGUAAAACACGAAUAAUAUUUAUUUCAUAGAAAACAAUAUUCCACCCUAAGUAGAUCAAGUUUGUAUGACGCAUGGAUCAAAGCUCAAUCUAGGAGAAAAAAAACAAAGGAAUUUUCUUUGUAAAGAAAAUUUGAGAUUGUACUAUUUUCAAAGUUAUAAAUAAAAUUAUACGCCAAAUUUUCAAGUCAAUUUUCAACUCCAAUUUUGUAUGCACAAAUUUCUAAUACACUUGGUGGGACAUUCUUUGACUUUUAUCUAUUCUCUCAAAAAGUUAAAGUUCAAAGUUACAUUAAACUCAAAGAAGAUAUUCAUUAGUAAACCACCUCACAAGCCUGCUCAAGCUAAUCCUACAACUCGUUCCACUUCAUCAUCAAACACCAAUAUUCUUGCUUAUCCUUAUGGAAUUAAACAGUCUCAUUUUCUGCAUUUUGGGUACACACUUAGUUUUGUUUGAUGCUAAAACAGUCCCCGAGCACUCCAAAACCUAUAAUUGAACAAAUAAUACUAAUUUAAUCUUACAUAACAUGAUCCCAAAUUGAAAUUGUAUCGAGGUUUUAACCCAUAAGUGACUAAACCUUACCUUCAACCGAUGAACAGUAAUUCCCACACAAACUAAGACUCCAAUUGGAGAUUACGAGCCAUUGAAUCCUCCCCUAAUUGGCAUAAACAAAACACUUCAAAAGAAAGUUAACAAAUGGAGACAAAUCACUUAUCUAAAACUUACCGAACGAUCACAGAAAAACGUGGAGUGACACGAGGCAGAGUGGGAAAAGAAAAAUCAAGAGGAUGAAGGGUGAAAGAGAGCAAAAAUUCGGUAGCAAUGAAGAGAAAAACAGCAAGAAAGUGGAGGGAUUUUAGGGAAAGUAAAAAAAAAGAUGAAUAGAAUAUUUGAUAACUACCCAAUCCCUUAUUUCUCUCUAUCAAACUCCCCACUAAAUCCACUACUCGAAUUUUUAGUCCAUCUCAAACUCUCCUGGACGCACGAGCAAAAAAUAAUGACCAUGCCAAAAUUUAAACAAAAGACCUCCUUCACACCAACACUCCACUUAUCCACCAGACCAAUAGGCUCAUUCUUUUAAUUAUUUUCCAACUUUUACUUAAAAGCCUACUGACCAAAGAUAGGGCUUAUUCAUAAAAAUACCAAAUUUUGCCCAAGACCUGGCUUGAACUUGGGACCUCUCAAACACACCCAGAACACAUAACCACUAAAGCAGACAGAAAUUUUGUGUCACACAUUCACAAUACCCAAAAUUAAAAUUUUAGGGCGUUACAAAAACACAUUAAACAAUAUCGCAUAAAACAAUCACAGUCAGAUAACAAUUCAGAAUGUCGAUUUUACAAUUUAACCACCAAUAGUAUCAUAGUAUUCACAGUUGUAAUUUCAGAAUAUCAAAUUUCCACAUCAUUCACAAUAUUCACACAUAUAUAAAUAUAUCAUAAUAGAAUUCUAGAUUUGUAUGCACAUGAUUUAGAAGAUGCCAUACAAUUUUGGGUUUUAACAGAAUAAAUCCUACCCCACAUUACAUACCAUAAUGGGAGUUCCCCUAAACUCCCUUCUCCAACACACUAGGUUGUGGAUAAACCACUAUUGGUUCACAAAUAAUAACUGUCAUUUGGCUGUGGACACAUAGCAAGUCCCCGCAAUUGGAUUCUAGAUUUGGUUGUGGAUUCACAGCAAAAAAAUCCUACAAAUGAAGCCUGCUUUUGCCUGUAGAUUAUACAACAUAUACCCGCAGUUGGAAUCUGUCUUUGGCUGUGGAUGCAGUGUAACACCUCAAACUCGACCUAGACGUUAUGGCUAAAUCUUAAUGAUUUACUUUAACUCGCUAGAAAGCCCACGAAUUUACUUUAAAAUCAUGUGGUUAAACUAGUGUUCACUUUGAUAAAUCGUUUUCCAGUUUUAGAGAAAAUUCUUGUUAAAACUGUUACUUUAUUACAAUAAAACAUUGAAGUAAUUGUAUCAUUUUGUAGUGGAAUCUACUAAGCUAUAAGGUUUUGAAAAUCGUGAUUUAGUUUGAAACAAAUCAUUUUGCAAAUAGAAAUUUAAUACUACUUAAUUUGGAAAAGCACGCUAAAACGAAAGCAAAGUCCAAAAUAAUUUACGGUUUGAAAUUCUAAAAAGCCCAAAUUAGUCAUAAAGUCUAUUUAAACCAAUUUAUCGAAAGUGUAACACCCUAAACCCGGCCUGUAUGUUAUGGCCAAAUCUAGAUGUGUUACGAAAAAAAGUUUAUAAAACGACUUCCUUGUUAUUGGCAAAUCAUCGUAGCCAUUAUUACUUAGUAUAUCUGAUUUGUUUGGAAAACUUAUUGAUAUACUUAUUUGAUUUAAAAUCGUUGCUCACUUACGCCUUUUUAUUAAACCAAAUAUUUUGCAGCGGAGUUUCUUUAAAACAUCAUAUUUUGGAAAAUCAAAUUGUUUCUUGAAAAUCGUUAUUUUAGAAAAGUUGUCAUUUUCAGAAAAAUUAUUUUAUCAGUUGUUAUGCUGAGAAAACAAAAUAAAAUCCAAAACCAAAAAUAGUCCCAAAAAGUCUAGAGAGUCCCAAAAUGACAAUACUCUUAAAACUAGACAAGUUUAAACUAAUUUUAAAAGAAUGAAAUUUUACAGAAAUGUGGACACCACUGAGCUUCCGUCGCACCGACCCACCUAAAUCUGAGGGUUACUUGAACAGAAUAAACAAACAGAGAGUGAGUUUUGAAACUUAGUGUCUAACGCGUAUAUAAACAAAAAUUCAGAAUCAAUCUCAUGCAGAACAGAUACAAGUGUAAACCUUUUAUAAAAUUAGAAUUAUACAGAUACAAAUAUGCAACAUCCUACCCUCAUCCUCUACACACCAACUCCGACCAUUCUAUCACACCACGUGGGGUAUAAAAUACCCACCCAGCCCUACACACCGUAUAGUAUUUAUAUGACACUUUUUGGAAUAAUCGCAGCAGAGUUGCCAGUAUAUAGGCGAGAUAUCACCUCACACAGAACACUUCCUCCUCAUAAUACAAAUCCCGCCCCAUAGCCAGAUACAGACAAAAUAUCAUGUAAAAUAAAUUAACAGAUACUAGAGUUAACAUAUCACGCAUGAGCGUAUAAUAGAUAUUACACAUGCUUAUGCAUAACAAAAUAGAUCAUACAUAUUGUAUUCCAUAAUACUCAUAUAAAUGUUAUUUACGUCAAUCUCAAUCUAAUAGAGUAGCUGAUUUCAUGCUUUAACUCUUAUACCACACAUACAGACCCUAUAGAAGGCCCACAGUUGAUCGAGACAACAUGUAUGUCCCUAGGGAAAAAAUUUGUAAUUUGGGCCCAUAUGCAUGUAUGAGCCCACACACCCAAAAUGGCCUUGCCCAUGUGGCUCACCUACCUAGCACUCAGCCCAUACGGUCCAAAAUGGCCUAGGUCGUGUGUCACACACAGCCGCAUGUUGCACACAGCCUACCACAUAGCGAGUCACAAAACCGUUUGGAGUUGACAAGCCUAAUUUUUGGCUUUCGUCAAUCGUCAUUUUCUUACGUUUUCAUUACACACUUGGUUUGAUUCUGACCCAAAAGCAACCCUAAGUCCACCGAAACCUAAAAAUAGCAUUCCAAUGCCCAAUUUCAGUGAACAUUUACAAAACUUAAACAAAAACUAUCCAAAAACAUAGCCUCACAAUAGCAUCCAAUGCACUCGCACACUUACCGUCAACGAAUAGGAAACACCCAACACUCAAUUCGUUGGCGGAGCACCAAUUAUGAUAAUGCAAAAAUUUUAUGGAUUCUCAACACUAUCGAUCCAAAUGUAAGAUUGAUGCUUUCCAAUUAUGAUAAUGCAAAAAUUUUAUGGGAUGGUUUACAUGAAUUUUUGUUGUUGUCAACGAUCAAUGUAUUCAAUAAUUAAAAGAAAAUAUUAGUCGUUGUUAGAAAACCAAUACUAUGAGUGUUGUAGUUUAUUUCAGUAAAUUAAAGGUUUUGUGGGAUGAACUAGACAAUCAUGAACAAUUGAUUUAUUGCAAGUGUGGACAAUGUUUAUGUAACUUAGGGAAGACGGAUGAACAAUGUCGUGAGCAUGAUCGACUUCAUCAAUUACUUCUUGCUCUCUAUUCUAAUUGUUAUGCUCAAACUAGGUUUACAUUGUUUUACCAAGAUCCUUUGCCUUCCUUAAAUCAGGCAUUCCAACAAAUUACUUAGGAGGAACAUGUACGUGGAAUUACACUGAUUAAGGAAGAGAAGUCUGAUAUUUUAGGCUUUGCUUUGCAUACAGAAGGUCAUAACAAAGGCCGAGCUAAUUGUAUUGAUAAGUCAACCUUGUUGUGCACUCAUUGCUAUCGCAAAAGGCAUGAGAUGGCUACCUAUUUUGAAUUACAUAGCCACUUGGAUUGGCGGCUUAAGAAGUAUGGGAAGCCAGAGAAGAAAAGUGAUGAUCGUGGUGGUAAGACAAGUGCACAUCUUCCACGUAAGUAUUUUAUUUCAAAGGAUCACAAUUAAACAUUAGAUUUCUCAUUUUUAAAUUUUUUUUAUUUUUUUAACAACUACGUAAUUAACGAGUACCAAUUUUGGGUGUUGUAGGGGUUCUAUAACUUUCCCUAUAUGUAAUCGACUCUUGCACCCUCUUUUUUUCUCUAGAAUUCAAUGCAAACCUUAAAUUUAUCUUUUUAAAAGAAUUUUAAAAUCUCUUUAUAAAAGACGAUUUUUUUAGGUGACCAAUCACAGUUAAGAAAAACAAAUCGGUGGCAACUCCUUUCUAAUAAAUGUAAAAAACUUUUUAAACAAAAUAAGGUUGAAAUAAUCUAGUUGUCGUUAUACUUUGAUAAAAUUUUAGAUUUAGUCCUUAUACUUAAAAGGUUAAAAAUUAAGUCUUGUUUUUAUUUAAAAAUCUUAGUCCUAUCGUUAAUAUUGUUUUUUUUUUGUCAAAAUUUGUCAAGUUGACAUAUUAAUUAGGUUUCUCUUAUAUAUCGUGGUAUAUGACUAACACAAAAUAAACAAGUUGACAAAUUCUACAAAAAAUAUCAAAGAUGAUAAUAGUUUAAUUAAAAUUUUUAAAUUAAAAAAGUAAGGGAUUAAAUUUAUAACUUUUAAAGUAUAAUGAAUGAAAUUAUUGAAAUACAAGAACUAACAACAUAUUUUAAAAAUAUUACUAGUAAAUUAUAUAUCUACAACAAGAAUUGUAACCUCUUAUAUUAUAUUCUUGUAUUUAUUUUUGCAUCUUUCAUAAUAUGAUUUAUUAAUUUUAAUAUUUUUAUAGAAUAAUAUGCUUUAAAUAGUUUUUUGUAUCAUUUAUAAAAAUUAUAAUAAACUUACAAAAUAAUUUAAUGAUAUUUAAUUAUUAAUCGAAAAAAAUGAUAUCAUAUAUAUUAUGUAUAUAUUAAGAUUCCAAAUCAUUAAUUAUAUAUCUACGCAUUAUAAUAAAUUCAUCUUUCAAAAUUUUCCUUAUAAUUAAAGCAUAAAUUAUAUUUAUAAUAAUAUAAAUAUAUUCUAUCAUAAAUAUUCUUUCAAAUAUUUUUUAAUGUUUAAUAAUAAGUUAAUUUAUAAAAUAUUCUUUCAGUAAAUUAACGUGAUGAGAUCGUUAGGUGCUUGGAUUUGGUGAAGGGGGAUGAAGAGAAAAGGGAUGGAAGUGAAUAAAAAUGUUGAGAAAUGGAAAGGGUUAGCGAGGGAAGCCGCCAUGAAAGGUGGUUCAAUGGAUAUGAACCUUCAAGCUUUUGUGGAUGAUGUUACUCAAGGUUGUUGCAAGUAAAUUUAAAAAUGUUUUUAAAUUAUUUUUUUGUUAAAAAAACAUUUUUUACUUUUUUAUGUGGCAUGCCACAUUAUCAUACUAUCAUGUGACAAUUUCUGGUGAUUUCUGUCCGCAACAUUAGUCAAAUCAACUGUUAAAUCGUUCAACUCACAGUUUUUGUUAAAUGAAGAGGUUAAUUGAUUUUUUUUUGGAAUCAUUGAGUACUCAAUUGGUGCACUUUUUUCAUAAAGGCUAAAUUAAUUUUUUAAUUUGUUAUUGUUGAAGGCUAUAGCAAUAAAAAAAAUUGAGGUAAAAAAAUAUUAGAGCUAAAUUUGUCAUUAUGCCUAAAAUGUAAAACCAAAUUUUUUUGAAAAUGAAAAAAAAUGGAAAAUCGCAAAUUCCGUCGCAUAUUUUUGCUUAAAAUUAUAGUUUUGGUCACCAAUCUUUUGAAGUAAAUAUAGGUCACCAAUAUUAUCAAUUUGUUACUUUGUAAUAACUCACCUUAAGUUAUACCCCGACGCACGAAAGGAUUAAAUGACAUUGGGAUACCAUCAAACUUGUAUCUUAAAUACACAUUUACCCCUAAUUUUAUCACAUUCUUCUUAAUUGGUAUUUAUGGUUUAGAAAAUUUUACAAAUAUAUUAUUUUUUAAGAAAUUAUAAGAAGAUUACAAAAAUUCCAAAAUAAUAUAAAAAAGCUAAGGAAAACCUAGAAAUUCAAAAAAAAAAACGUGGACAUUGAAUUUGCUGUUUCACAUUAAAUUUUUGGAGAAGUAGAAUUUUCUAACUUAUUUUCCAUCAACUUCACUUCAAUUUUCAAUCACAAUCUAUUGCAUUCAAGAGCACCACAUCUUUUGGGAUGAAACAAACCUCUCAAUUUUAAGAUAAACGGAAUCUAUUGCAUUCAAGAGCACCACGUCUUUUUGGAUGAAACAAAGCUCUCAAUUUUAGGAUAAACGGGUCUUUAGGGUUAUAAAUUGAGGUCCUUUUCCACAAUUGCGGGUGAUUCGUUGAUAAUAACCUCAACAUUUCUGUAUCACAUUUAAUUCAAUUCCACAUUCAAUUUUUAGUUUUUAGAGAGAUGAUUGGGUUACAACAAUGGUUUGAAGUGAAGAUAUUUCAAAACAAGAUGAAUACUCUACCAAUAGUCAUAAUUUAAAAUGCAGGUUAUGUUUCAUUUCAGCUAAGUUAAAUGUUAAGAUUGAGGUUAAACCUUUUAGAGGUUGCUCGCAAAAGGAUCAAACCUUUAUAAAAUUGUUUAAAUGAAGGUCAAACCUCUUAAAAUAGACAAAUAAGGGCCUAACCUUUUAAAAGGUGUUCAAAUAAGGGUUUCUCAAAUUUUGUAUAUCAGGUUAUGUAUUUUACUCUAAACACAUCGACAUUUACCUAUUUUUUCUAUAAAUUGGGUUGAAGUGCAUGAAAAAACCUUAUUUAAGCACUUCUGUAAAGGUUAAACUCUUAUUUGACUAUUUUGAAAGGUUUGAUCCUUAUAUAAGCAACCUCUAAAAGAUUGAGUACUAAUUUGACAAGAUUGAGAAAUACCUAAAUUUGUUUUCAUGAAUCAAGAAAAUAAAAAAGAAAUGUUGAGAAAUAUUUUAGAGAUUCUUAGCUUUGACAAGUUCCCUCCAUCAUCUUCCUGCCUCCAGUCCCACCUCUUCUCUUAUGCUCCUCCCAGCUUCUUGCUUUUUGUGUGUUGAAAUUUCAAAGGAACAAAAUAUCAACCUACAUCAUAAGGCACGAUUGCCAGAACUUUACUUUCUAGCCUGUCGAUCCGAUCCAAUGAAAGAAGAACAAAGAGUCUCAAGAUCUGUCAACUUUAUUUCAUUUUCAUUUUCUUUGUCAUUUUCUAUGUUUCAUGUCGAAUACAAUGAAAGAACAUAGAAAAAUGUUGCCUAUUUAUUUCCCAAUCAUCAUGAAAUUACUUGCCAUAGACUUAGAAUUUUCUCACCAAUUUUCAAGCAAUCUGACAUGAUUUCUCAAUCACAAUUAAUUGAAUUCAAGAUCUUUUUAGAUGACACAAACAUUUCAAUUUUAACACAAACCAAUAUUUAGGUUGUACUUCAGUGCUUGACAAGCACUUUCACAUUUGUGGGAUAAGAACUCUUAACAUUUUAGGAUCACAUUUAAUUCAAUUGCAUUUAAGACCUCACGAUUUUAUUCUAUAAUUUCAGUCUUAUCAGCCUUUUCGGAAACAAUAAAACGUCGACAUUAAAUUUGUUGUUGAUGCAUUCAAUUUUUUGAGGGGUCUUUGGAGUUAUAUGUGACUUUAGCAUUGACUGACUUUUUUAUAAUUAAUCUUUUAUAAUAUAUCAAUUUUAAUAACAUCGACAUGUUUUUUAGUAGGGUCUAGCAAAACCCAAUUAAAACCGAUGAUAUUGGCUUAGUUGACUCGGUCAAGUCCAUUAGAUUGAUAAAAUCAAUUUUAAAAUCAGUUAUAAUGGAUUAAGGUAAUUAAUUAUCGAGUAAUGAAAUACAUAAUCAAAUCAAUUGAUUUUGUUAGAAACUAAAAGAAAAUGAGAUAAGCUGAAAACUGAUUGCCCUUUAUUAAAAUUAACGAAUCCGCCCUUUACGUAUUAGAUAAUACGAACAUCACAUAUAUAAUAAGAAAAAUUACGUAUGAUUAUUUAUUAUCAUAAAAGGUUAGUUUAAAUUUAAAGUAAUCUAAUAUGUUUAUUGAACUUCAACUAUUAAAUAAAGUAUAAGCUAAAUAAGUAUAAAUAUUCUAGAAACCAUUUCUAACUGAUGAUAGGCUAAUUCGAUUAAUUUAUAAAAACUACAUAGUAGGGUUAUAGUCCUCAAACUACACCUAAUUUAAUAAUAUUUAUAGUUUUUUUUUUAGCCUUAAACAUUUAUAGUUUUUUGUUAAUUUGGUCCUUACUCUUUAAAAUUACAUAAAAAUUGCAAAAAAAAUUAAAAUUAAUUUUUUUUCAUAAUUUUAAUAACAUUUAUAGUUUUUUUUUUGUGUGUGGUUUGGUAACUUAUCAACUCGACUCUCACUUGUAACCAACUUUUCUAACCUUUUUCGUACCCUUAACCUAAGUCCCGUUACAACUUUCUAAAGACCUCUUUAUCAGUGUAUCAUGUCGGUUUGUUUUAUAAUGGUGGAGAUUUGUUUUUUGUAGUGGCACGAUUGCCAGAACUUUACUUUCUAGCCUAUCGAUCCGAUCCAAUGAAAGAAGAACAAAGAGUCUUAAGAUCUGUCAACUUUAUUUCAUUUUCAUUUUCUUUGUCAUUUUCUAUGUUUCUUGUCAAAUACAAUGAAAAAAGAACAUAGAAAAAUGUUGCAUAUUUAUUUCCCAUUCAUCACUCUAACAGGCCCAAUUAGCCCAGGCCCAAACAUUAAUAAAAUGUCUAGAUUACAAAAUAAUCAACUAAAAAUUAAAAGCUCAAAAAAUAAAAUAAAACCCAUUAUAUUAACCCAAAACCCCAGCCCAAUUACAUUGAAACCCAAAAAAAAAAUAGUUUUCAGAAACCCCUAGGGUUUCAGAAGCCCCUCAAUGUUAUUUUGUAUAUCUAUUUAUCUUUUUAAAUUUUCGAUAUUGUCUUGUUUUGUUUUUGUAUUAUUGUUGUUACCAUCAUUAUUCAUUAUUAUUAUUGUUGAUUUUAUUGUUCUUUGAUUAAUGUUAAUGUUAGAGUAAUAGAUGUUAUGUGAUCAUUGUUAUUAUAUGUUAUAAUUUGUUUACACUCGUAUUGUAGUCAUUUGUCAGCUUAAUAUUUUGAGUAAUAUUUUAAAUAUUACAUUAAUUUCGACCCAAAUGCAUAAUUUUUUAAUAAGUAAUAUUUUAUAUUUUGAAAUUUGAGAGAUCAUUCCCUAACUUACGGGGUCUCAAUUUUUUCGAUAAAUCUGAAUAUACUAACUAUUUUCAAAAAAUAUGUUUUAAAAUUAUCUCGGGAAUUUAAAAAGGAGCGUGUUCUAACUUACUGAAUAUGAUCUUUUUUUUAAAAUCGAGAUAAUCAAAUAACUUUCAAAUAAAUAAAUUUUCAAUGUUUAUUCUCAUAUCAGGAUUUAAAAUAUUAUAUCCUAACUCACGGGAUACAAUUCUUUUUCUCGAUUAACAUGAAAUAUGCCCGUUUUAAUUUUAUUUUUUAAGUGAUUUUAACAAAAGGAUUGUAUUUUAAAUCUCUUCAAAAUUUUCAAUUUUUCGACAUUGAGACAUUAACUAAUCAAUUAGGUACCAAUUUUGGGCGUUACGAGGGUGCUAACCCUUCCUCAUACGUAACCGACUCCCGAACCUAUUUUUCUGAAUAUUGAAGGCCAAAAUUGUUUUAAUAAAUUAAACCCUUAAGACGUGACCCCAUCACACCUCAUAAAAAUUAUCGGUGGCGACUCUCGUUUGCGUUUUUGUUUUCGUUUUCAAAAUAAAAGUCGACCCCUUGUUUUAAAAAAGGUGGUUCGAUAGCUUGGCGACUCCGUUGGGGAAAAAAAUAAGAGAGUCAAGCCACGAGUUGAUUAUUUCUUAUUUUUUGUCAGAAAUUGUGAAUUCGAUUUAAAUUUACGAUCUUUUCAUUGCAUUUUAUGGUCUGCAUCAUUUUGAUAUGCUUGCUUUACUGGUUCGAGUCUUUUAAUCUCCGCAUAUUGCAUUGCAUAACCGUUCGGUUAUACCCUUUUAAGUGGGAGUGAGAAACUAUUCAUUUGUGAGAUUUUUACCUCCGUAUAGGAUAGUGGAUUACUUUCGGGAUACAUCCGUACCUAUGUCUUCGUGAGAUUUUCAUCUCCGUAUAGUUAUAGGGAAAUGUAUUCCCCUGAACUGAACUCAGUCCGUAUGAGCCUAUAAUAGGUAAGGAUUGAGGAAUCUGCUGGUUCAGGUACCCUUUCUUUAGAACUAAACUGCAUGUAGUGAGCCCUAAGAGCAUACCGUAGGUAGAACCACUCCAAACCCCUAGUGGUCACCCAAAUAGGUGCUCUAUUUAUUUUUGCUUGCUUAUUUUUGCAUUGUACUAACCUAUUUUUUUGUUAUGAUUGCAUUGCAUUUUCAUCAUAAAAAAGAUGUGUUGAUUCACGUUCAAUUGCUAAAUAGAGAGCUUGUCAUGGAAAACGGAUUUCUUGAUAAAGUGGAAGACAAUGUGGUUAUCCGGAUAUGGUCCAAGAAAAUUUGACGAAAGAAGGGUGAUAGUCUAAUGGAGGACUACACGACCUUGCUUUAUUGCCCGAGGAUUCAAGUUGACAAAGAUUAUUUGAGAGUCCUCAAUGUCCCGACCUUUUUCAAGAAGCUAACGAGUGUCACGAGGAUGAGUGAGUAAUGAGUUGCGGCCCGGAUCAAGCAAAAAAGAGAUAGAGGAGACACCCUUUUUGAAGAGUUCGCGAGAUUUAUAUUAAUAUCAAAAUGAAGAAAAAGAUCAAUGUCUUCGCCUGGAGUAUGAAAGCAAAGCUGUAUAUAUAUCCGCUUUAUGUAAAUAAAUUUGUUUUCUAGUAAAGUUUUUCUAAUAGAAUUGAAUCAGAAUCAAUGUCUUUUUUUGCAUUCAUUCCAUUCAUCUGCAUUGCAUUUCAUUGCAUCCAAAAUUUCACAAAAGGACCCUAAUUAAUUGAAAUUGUUAUAGUUACUCUGAAAACUAAUAAAAAUCUACCAAUUAAAUAUUCCUACGGUACCCGUCGCAAAACCAAAGUAAUGGAUCAAAUAUUAGAAAGAUUAGAACAAAUUCUGAAAGACAAGCAUAAUCGUUUUUGCUUAGGGUACAAGCCAGAUACAAGACAAAGAAGGAAGGAGUUAGAGAAGAAAUAGGAAAGAAUGACAGCAUAUUUGAGCGAGGAUGAGGUCAAAUGGGAGCCUAUGAACUUUCCCUACAUAUCCAAAACUUUUGUAUCGGGAGGGAUUAUUCAUCCCGAGCGAAGAAUGCCAAGAGAAGAAAAUAUUGAAGAAAUGUUGGGAAACGUUCACAUCAAUGCCAUAUACGAAGAAGUAGUUGAAGGAUGGACCUUGUUAGAUAUCCGACCUUAUGAACCUGGGAGUGUGCUAAACAAUUGGACUACAGAAGAAAUUCCUGUAGUGUUUAGACCUUACUCAGAGUAAUAUUCAAAACACACUUGUUGCUUUUAGCCUAGAAGUGAUAAGAAUCCCUCUGUGAAAUAGGCUCAUGUAUAAACAUCAUUAUUUUAAUAAAGUAAAUCUUUGCAUUCAUUUUGAGCAAAUAUUCUUUUAUUCUUUCCAUACGAGUAAUUAUUUUAGAUUUUUCAUUAUUUUAGGAUUUUCUUCCAAAAAUCAUUCUUUUAUUACAUUCAUAAUCAUACUGUACAAAUAAUUAUUCUUAAAUUCAUUCAUUCUUUGUAUAUUCUUUUGUACCUAUAAUAGGUCCCUAGAUAUCAACGACAUGAGUGACGCUGCUACAGACUUAGAAUUUCCUUUUAAACAAGACAUGUGUUUAGAGGGAUCCCAUGACUUUGAAGAUGACGUAGACUGUGGCUUAUCUCCGGACUUGUUAAGGAUGGUAAAACAAGAGGAGAAGCAAAUCCUACUUCACAAUGAAUCAAUGGAAAUUGUGAGCUUAGAAGGGGAAAAUAGGUGAAGAUUGGGACUGACAUUGCCACAAAUACGAAGUAAGACCUCAUUGAGUUACUCUAAGAAUUCAAAGAUAUUUUUGCAUGGUCAUACUAGGAUACGCUCGGGUUAAGUACUGACAUUGUAGUACACUGCCUUCCUAUAAAAGAAGAUUGCUAGCCAGUUCAGCAGAAACUCCAGAGGAUGAGGCCUGAUAUUGUGCUAAAAAUAAAAGAAGUCAAAAAGUAAUUUGAUGUUGGGUUCUUACAAGUGGUCAAAUAUUCAGAAUGGGUAGCCAACAUCGUCUCAGUUCCUAAAAAAAAUGGGAAAGUACGAAUGUGCAUGGAUUACAGAGACUUGAACAAGGCCAGUCGAAAAGACAAUUCCCUAUUGCCUCACGUUGACACUUUGGUGGAUAAUACAGUAGGCUACUCACUUUUUUCCUUCAUGGAUGGCUUCUCUGGAUACAAUCAGAUAAAGAUGCAUCCAAAAACAUGGGAAAGAUUACAUUCGUGACCCUGUAGGAAACGUUUUACUAUAAAGUGAUGACAUUCAGAUUAAAGAAUAUGGGAGCGACGUAUCAAAGGGUGAUGGUAACCUUGUUUCAUGACAUGAUUUACAAGGAAAUCGAGGUUUAUAUUGACGAUAUGAUUGCAAAAUCUAGAACAGAAGAGGAACAUGUGCAGGUCCUGAGAAAAUUAUUCUUAAGACUGAGAAAGUUCUAGCUCAAGCUUUCCAACGAAAUGCACUUUCGGAGCUAGGUCAGGAAAGCUAUUAGGCUUCAUAGUCAGUGAAAAAGGAAUCGAGAUCAACCCAGACAAAGUCAAGGUAAUAAGAGAUUUACCUCCACUAUGCACUCAGAAGAAAGUUCGAGGUUUCCUAGGAAGACUAAAUUACAUUGCUCGGUUUAUUUCACAACUAACCGAAAAAUGUGACCCCAUAUUUCAUCUUUUAAAGAAACAUAAUCCAGAUGUAUAGGAUGAAGAAUGUCAGGAAGUUUUUGAUAGGAUAAAGCAGUACCUAUCAAAUACUCUAGUGCUGUUACCACCUAGCCCAGAUAGGCCACUGAUAUUGUAUUUAACAGUGUUUGAUAAUUUUAUGGGAUGCAUGCUAGGCCAACAUGAUGAGACAGGAAGGAAAGAAAGGGUUAUAUACUAUCUCAGUAAGAAAUUCACUGAUUAUGAAAUAAGAUACUCGUCUAUUGAGAAAUUAUGUUGUGCCUUGAUCUGGAUAACUCGGAGGCUAAGGCGGUACAUGUUGUACCAUACGACUUGACUAAUUUCAAAGUUAGACCCUUUAAAGUAUAUGAUGGAGUCAACUACUUUGAAUGGGAGGAUGGCCAGAUGGCAGAUUUUACUUUUUGAAUUUGACAUACUUUAUGUGAGCCAGAAGGCUAUAAAAUGGAGUGCAAUAGCGGAUUUUCUAGCUAGCAGAGCCUUGGAGGAUUAUGAGCCUUUAAAUUUUGAUUUUUUGAACGAGGACUUAAUGUAUGUGGCAACCACUAAAGAAAAUGCUCAAGUGGAUCGCAUUUGGAAGCUAAAAUUUGACGGAGCCUCAAAUGCUAUGGGUAAUAAAAUUGAGGCAGUCUUAGUAUCCCCGAGCAGAGAUCAUUAUCCUAUUGCUGGCAAAUUGGAUUUUGAUUGUACAAACAAUAUAGCAGAAAAUGAAGCGUGUAUUAUGGGCAUCCGUAUAGCCAAAGAAUGUAAAAUCAAAGUGCUAAAGGUAUAUGGGGAUUCUGCAUUGGUGAUAUAUCAGCUCAAAGGAGGAUGAGAGAUAAGAGACCUCAAAUUGAUUAAUUAUCGAAAGUUUAUUCUCGAAUUGAUUGAUGAGUUUGAUGAUAUUACUUUCUCCUAUCUCCCACUAGAUGAAAACCAGAUGGCUGACACGUUGGCUACUCUAGCUUUCAUGAUCAAAGUAAACAAACUAGAAGACAUGAAGCCUAUCCAGAUGAGCAUUUAUGAGACUUUGGCUCAUUGCUACAGUAUCGAGGAAGAGGAAAAGGAUGAUCAUCCUUGGUACCAAGAUAUACUGCAAUAUGUAAAGAAUCACGAGUACCCUGAUCAGGCAACGAAGAAUGAUAAGAGGACAUUGAGAAGACUAGCCACUAACUAUGUCUUACAUGGAGAGAUUUUAUACAAAAAGGGAAAGGAUCGGGUACUACUAAGAUGCUGGAUGCUAUAAAAGCUUAGAAAAUCUUGGAGGAAGUCCAUGAAGGUAUCUGCAAAAUGCAUGCCAACGGUUUCACAAUAGUAAGACAGAUUAUGAGAUUCGGGUACUACUGGUCGACCAUGGAAGGAGAUUGCAUCAAUUAUGCCAAGAAGUGCCAUAAAUGUCAAAUUUAUAGAGACAAAAUACACGCACGUUCUUCACCUCUCAACGUUAUGACUUCUCUAUGGCCUUUCUCUAUGUGGGAUAUGGAUGUCAUCGGGCCAAUAUUGCCAAAGGCUUCUAAUAGGUAUCGUUUCAUCUUCAUGGUCAUUGGUUACUUCACUAAAUAGAUGGAAGCUGAUUCAUAUGCUAAUGUCACGAAGUCAGGAGUCAGCAAGUUCUUGAAAAGGGAGAUCAUAUGUUGAUAUAUAAUGCCUGAAAGAAUCAUAUCUGACAAUACAUUGAAUUCGAAAAAUAGCAAAAUAGCGGAGGUCUGCAAUCAAUUCAAGAUCAAACACCAUAAUUCGUCACCAUAUCGCCCAAAAAUGAACGGAGCAGUGGAGGCGGCCAACUAAAAUACCAAGAAAAUUGUGGGGAAAAUGUCUGAGACUUACAAAGAUUGGCAUGAAAAAUUACCAUUUGCCCUCUUUGUUUAUCGAACAUCAAUCAGGACUUUCGUCGGGGCAACGCCUUUCUCUCUAGUUUAUAAGAUGGAGGCAGUUUUACCCAUUAAAGUUGAAAUCCCUUCUCUCUGGGUAUUGGCUGAGCUAAAGUUGGAUGAAGCUGAAUAGAUCCAACCUCGAUAUGAUCAGUUGAACCUAAUAGAAAGAAAAAGGCUAAAAGUUAUUCACCACGGUCAGAUGUACCAAAAACGAAUGAUGCGAGCCUACAACAAAAAAGUUCAUCCCAAAGAAUUCUAUGAGGGGGACCUAGUGUUGAAAAAGAUUUUUCCUCUACAAAAGAAUUUUAGAGGAAAAUGGAUGCCAAAUUAGGAAAGACCUUAUGUUGUAAUAAAGGCCUUUUCUGGAGGAGCAUUGAUUUUGAGUGAGAUGGAUGGUAAAAAUUUUCCUAAUCUUGUAAACUCAGAUUCAUUCAAGAAAUACUUCACCUAAAGAAGGAGAAGGGACCAAUGUGAAAACCUGCAAAGGGCACUUUGAGUCUUAAAAAAAAGAGACCAAGGUGAAAACCGCAAAUGGUGUCUUAAGUCCUAAAAAAAAGAGGCCAAGGUGAAAACUAGCAAAGGGCGCCUUGAGACCAAAGGGGAUUUGAGUUGAAAACCCGAAAAGAGCGACUCAAAUAUUGAUUAAAAUGGGGCAUGCAGUGAUCUUGCUAUACUUGAAUUAAUAGGAAAGGGGUAUACGACAUCUUGGGGCAUCGACAAAGUACUAUAGAUCUCCUAAACACAUUUCAAACUCAAAAUGGUCUUUAGGAAGUUUGUACAGAGAAAUUCAAGCUGCGAUGUCUAGGGCACCUAGUCUUCAUACUAUUUAUAUUAAAUUUGCUAUUCUUGGAAUACUUUAUUCUUUUCAAGAUACGUGUUCCCAAUCAAUUCCCUUUUUAUUCUUCUUUAUCCUUGAUAAUUUAUUCAUUUCGAGCUAUGCUCCAAAUCAAUUCUAUUCUUAUCCAUUGUUAUUAUCUUUUGCAAGCAUGUUGUAUUGGAAUAAUGAUUAAUAGACUAAUAAUACUUUUACAAAUAAAGUGCUGUAUAUUACUCUAAAAGUUUCUAAAUAAUACAAGAACCUAAAACAGGACUAUUGUUUAGAACGCACCGGGUUUAAAGGUUAGAAAUAUCUGAGAAGGAAGAGUCCAAAUUAAGACUAUCCCUUCGAAUUUUGUUGUCAAAAUAUUGAUUGAACAAAACGACAAGAUAUCGUAUUGGUGAACAAACGAGCAAUGAUCACCAGGUAAUAAAAAGAGGUUAUUUUGGAAAAAAAAUUACAUUGGUACGACACCUUAGGAAUGGUGUAAGAGACCAAAGAGGUUCACAUCUUGUAUUCUUGAAUUGCAAUAGGAGAGGAUUGAGAAAGAGCUAGAUAUUAUACUCCUGAAUUAUAAUGGAAGGGAAAUGGUACAAAUUUUAUGUACCAAAAGUACAGUGGAUUGAACCUUGAAGAUUACAGUAGGGGAAAUCUGAUUAAGUAAAAUAUGAAGUGUUUCUUUGGAGAUACCAGUCGAACAAGAUGGCAUUAUGACGUGUCGGUGAUAGAGCCUUAAUGAAUAAUGAGCAAUAACAACUCAAGCAUUAAGGGAUCAUUUUCAUAACAUUCUGUAUUCAUUCAUACACAUCUAGUUAGGAGAUUUUGAUUCAUUCCGAUCAUAACAUCCAAAUCACUAGACAUAAAUAGGCCCAUGAAAUGGAUUCUACAGGUCAUGUUCCCCAUAGAACAGAUGGGUGAAACCACAAAUCCUAUACCGCUGAAGUUGCAGUGGGAUGGAUUGAAGUCAUUAUGGCGAGUCUUAUCUCCCUGAAGUUGCAAUGGAGCAUAUUAAAGCUAGUAAUCUUAUCUCCCUGAAGUUGCAGUAGAGCGGAUUGAAGUUACAAGUCUUAUCCCCCUAAAGUUACAGUGGAGCAGACUGAAGAUAGUGAAUCUUAUUUCCCUGAAGCUGCAGUGGAACAAAUUGAAGCUAUAAAUUGUAGAUUUUAUCUCUCUAAAGUUGCAAUAGAGAAGAUCAUAUCAAACUUUAUCUCCCUGAAGUUGUAGUGGAACAGGUUGAAAAUACCAAUCUUAUCUCCCUGAAGUUACAGUGGAGUAGACUGAAGAUAGCGAAUCUUAUUUCUCUGAAGUUGCAGUGGAACGGAUUGAAGCUAUAAAUUACAGAUCUUAUCUCUCAGAAGUUGCAGUAAAGCAGAUCAUAGAAAACCUUAUCUCCCUGAACUUGCAGUGGAGUAGGUUGAAGUUAUAAGUCUUAUCUCCCUAAAGUUGCAGUGGAGCAGACUGAAGAUAGCGAAUCUUAUUNNNNNNNNNNNNNNNNNNNNNNNNNNNNNNNNNNNNNNNNNNNNNNNNNNNNNNNNNNNNNNNNNNNNNNNNNNNNNNNNNNNNNNNNNNNNNNNNNNNNNNNNNNNNNNNNNNNNNNNNNNNNNNNNNNNNNNNNNNNNNNNNNNNNNNNNNNNNNNNNNNNNNNNNNNNNNNNNNNNNNNNNNNNNNNNNNNNNNNNNNNNNNNNNNNNNNNNNNNNNNNNNNNNNNNNNNNNNNNNNNNNNNNNNNNNNNNNNNNNNNNNNNNNNNNNNNNNNNNNNNNNNNNNNNNNNNNNNNNNNNNNNNNNNNNNNNNNNNNNNNNNNNNNNNNNNNNNNNNNNNNNNNNNNNNNNNNNNNNNNNNNNNNNNNNNNNNNNNNNNNNNNNNNNNNNNNNNNNNNNNNNNNNNNNNNNNNNNNNNNNNNNNNNNNNNNNNNNNNNNNNNNNNNNNNNNNNNNNNNNNNNNNNNNNNNNNNNNNNNNNNNNNNNNNNNNNNNNNNNNUCAAAGGAACAAAAUAUCACCUACAUCAUAAGGCACGAUCGCCAGAACUUUACUUUCUAGCCUGUCGAUCCGAUCCAAUCCAAUGAAAGAACACAAGGAGUCUUAAGAUCUGUCAACUUUAUUUCAUUUUCAUUUCUUUGUCAUUUUCUAUGUUUCAUGUCGAAUACAAUAAAGAGAACAUAGAAAAAUGUGGCCUAUUUAUUUCCCAAUCAUCAUGAAAUUACUUGCCAUUGACUUAGAUUUUCUCACCAAUUUCAAGCAAUCUGACAUGAUUUCUCAUCACAAUUAAUUGAAUUCAAGAUCUUUUUAGAUGACACAAACAUUUCAUUUUAACACAAACCAAUAUUUCGGUUAUACUUCAGUGCUUGACAAGCACUUUCACAUUUGUGGAUAAGAACUCUUAACAUUUUAGGAUCACAUUUAAUUCAAUUGCAUUUAAGACCUCAUGGUUUUAUUCUAUAAUUUCAGUCUUAUCAGCCUUUUCGGAAACAAUAAAACGUCGACAUUAAAUUUGUUGUUGAUGCAUUCAAUUUUUUGGGUCUUUGGAGUUAUGUGACUUUAGCAUUGACUGACUUUUUUAUAAUUUAAUAAUAAGGUAAAUAUAUUAAUUUUAAUAACAUCGACAUGUUUUUUAGUAGGGUCGAGCAAAACCCAAUUAAAAUCGAUGAUAUUGGCUUAGUUGACUCGGUCAAGUCCAUUAGAUUGAUAAAAUCAUUUUUAAAAUCAGUUAUAAUGGAUAAAGGUAAUUAAUUAUCGAGUAAUGAAAUACAUAAUCAAAUCAAUUGAUUUUGUUAGAAACUAAAAGAAAAAGGGCUAAGCUGAAAAUUGAUUGCCCUUUAUUAAAAUUAACGAAUCUGUCUUUUACGUAUUAGAUAAUAUGAACAUCGCAUAUAUAAUAAGAAAAUUACGUAUGAUUAUUUAUUAUCAUAAAAGGUUAGUUUAAAUUUAAAGUAAUCUAAUAUGUUUAUUGAACUUCAACUAUUAAAUAAAGUAUAAGCUAAAUAAGUAUAAAUAUUCUAGAAACCAUUUCUAACUGAUGAUAGGCUAAUUCGAUUAAUUUAUAAAAACUAGAUAGUAGGGUUAUAGUCCUCAAACUACACCUAAUUUAAUAACAUUUAUAUUUUUUUUAGCCUUAAACAUUUAUAGUUUUGUUAAUUUGGUCCUUACUCUUUAAAAUUACAUAAAAAAUUGCAAAAAAAUUAAAAAUUAAUUUUUAUCAUGAUUUAAUAACAUUUAUAUUUUUUUUUGUGGUUUGGUAACUUAUCAACUUGACUCUUACUUGUAACCAACUUUUCUAACCUUUUUCGUACCCUUAACCUAAGUCCCGUUACAAUUUCUAAAGACCUCUUGAUUGGUGUAUCAUCUCGAUUUGUUUUUAUAGUGGUGGAGAUUUGUUUUUUGUAGUGGGCAUGAUUGCCAGAACUUUACUUUCUAUCCUGUCGAUCCGAUCCAAUGAAAGAAUAACAAAGAGGUCUUAAGAUCUGUCAACUUUAUUUCAUUUUCAUUUUCUUUGUCAUUUUCUAUGUUUCUUGUCACAUACAAUGAAAGAAGAACAUAGAAAAAUGUUGCCUAUUUAUUUCCCAAUCAUCAUUCUAACAGGCCGAAUUAGCCCAGGCCCAAACAUUAAUAAAUGUCCAGAUUACAAAAUAACCAACCAAAAAUUAAAAGCCCAAAUAAUAAAAUAAAACCCAUUACAUUAACCCAAAACUCCAGCCCAAUUACAUUGAAGCCAAAAAAAUAGUUUUUAGAAACCCCUAGGGUUUCUGGAACAAUCCGCGCCGCUCCUCCAUCCGCUUCUCCACGCACGCUGCACCUUUCCACGUGCGCCUCCAGCUGGCAGUGUACCUCCAAUGCAACAAACAAAGCAACAAGCAGCAAAAGAAAUGGAAAAACAACAAAAAAAAAAGAAGGAGCAACAAUGUAUAACAGAUUGAUAACAAAUAAUAGAAAAAAUAGCAGUAAAUAGGAAAAAAAAUUAAAAAAUAAUGAGGGUAAUUUCAUUUUUUUCUCUGUUUUGGCUAUAAAGAGAGCCGGUCAAAAUCUCUAAAGGGGGAUUUAGAAUCAAUCAGAAAACAAGUAUUUUGUACCAACAAUUAGAGAAAAAAAAUACAAAAAUAGGGAUUGAAGGUUUUUUUUUUCUUUCGUUUCGAUUUAUUUAAAAUAGCAUAGAAAAUAAAAAGAAGGCUUACCUUGCGACGCCUUCAGAUCCUCUCGAAAAGGGGCUAAAAGGCCCUAUGUGGCACAGAUUUGACCACUGUUCACGGUGGAACCGCAGCGGAGGCGCAGAGGAUUGGCAUCAAUUUAGGCAGGGUUUGAAACCCUAGCAGAGAAAAAAUUAGGGUUGAUAGAUUUUUUUUAAAAAAAUGGCAAAAUGUUGUUUUUAAAAAAUUUUGUUUUAAAAAAAUUGUUGCUUUUAUAAAGGGUGUAAAACGGCGUCGUUUAGGGCAUGUUUCGAUGGCCCCAAAACGGCGCCUUAUAAGGCAACCCCCGACGACCCGACCUGCUCCAUGGGGGAUCCGCGUGGUUUUUGUUAAAUGGGUUAUGUCUAACCCUGGCCCUUCUACUUUUUAUACUUGUUUUAAUUUGAUCCUCUUUUUAUUUAUUUUUAUUUCUUUAAAUUAAGCCUGAUAAUUUUUUUCCAUUACAUUUUAAUCCUUAAUGAAACGGCGCGUUUUAGAGGAGAAGGGAAAAUUACCCUUCUAGUCCCUUCUUGUUAUUCGAGUGUUCAGAAGGGUCCUUUUUUGUUUAUUUUUUAUUUGCCCCAAAAUUUUGUUUUAAAGCUUAAUUUAGUCCUAUUUUGUUAUUUUAGCUAUUUUAUUAUUAGAUUAAUUAAUUUAAUAUUAUUAUUACUGCUAUUAUUUUACCCCUAUUAGUUAUAUAUUUAUUAUUAUAACUAUAUCAUUAAAUCAAUUAGUUUUUACAUUAUUAUUUCCAUUCUGUUUUUUAUUUACUUACUUAAAUACUUUAAAUGCAUUUAUUUUAUUUCUUAUUUUUUUAUGAAAUUUCAAAACUUUAGACUAUUUUUUUGUUACUAUAACCCUAAUUUCAUUCAUUUUAUAAUAGUUUUUUUUUAAAAUAUUUCUUAGAUUAAUUCCCUCGAUGUUAUUUUGUAUAUUUAUUUAUCUUUUUAAAUUUUCGAUAUUGUCUUAUUGUAUUAUUGUUGUUACUAUCAUUAUUCAUUAUUAUUGUUGAUUUUAUUCUUCUUUGAUUAAUGUUUAUGUUAGAGUAAUAGGUGUUAUGUGAUCAUUGUUAUUAUAUGUUAUAAUUUGUUGACACUCGUAUUGUAGUCAUUCGUCAGCUUAAUAUUUGAGUAACAUUUUAAAUAUUACAUUAAUUUUGACCCAAAUGCAUAAUUUUUUAAUAAGUAAUAUUUCGUAUUGUGGAAUUUGAGAGAUCAUUCCCUAACUUACGGGGUCUCGAUUUUUUUGAUAAAUCUGAAUAUAAGAACUAUUUUAAAAAAAUACGUUUUAAAAUUAUCUCGGGAAUUUAAAAAGAAGCGUGUUCUAACUUACGGAAUAUGAUCUUUUUUAAAAAUCGAGAUAAUCAAAUAUCUUUCAAAUAAAUAAACUUUUCGUGUUUAUUCUCGUUUUAGGAUUUAAGAUAUUGUGUCCUAACUCACGGGACACAAUUCUUUUUCUCGAUUAACGUGAAAUACGCCCUUUUUAAUUUUAUCUUUUUAAGUGAUUUUAACAAAAGGAUUGUAUUUUAAAUCUCUUCAAAAUUUUCAAUUUUUCGACAUUGAGACAUUAACUAAUCAAUUAGGUACCAAUUUUGGGCGUUACAAGGGUGUUAACCCUUCCUUGUACAUAACCGACUCCCGAACCUAUUUUUCUGAAUAUUAUAGGCCAAAAUUGUUUUAAUAAAUUAAACCCUUAAGAGGUGACUCGAUCACAGCUCAUAAAAAUUAUCGGUGGCGACCCUUGUUUUAAAAAAGGUGGUUUCAACAGCUUGGCGACUCCGCUGGGGACAAAAAUAAGAGUCAAGCCGCGAGUUGAUUAUUUCUUAUCUUUUUGUCAGAAAUUGUGAAUUCGAUUUAAAUUUAUGAUCUUUUCAUUGCAUUUUAUGGUCUGCAUCAUUUUUAUAUGCUUGCUUUACUACUUCGAGUCUUUUAAUCUUCGCAUAUUGUAUUGCAUAACCGUUCGGUUAUACCCUUUUAAGCGGGAGUGAGAAAUUAUUCUUUCGUGAGGUUUUCACCUUCGUAUAGGAUAGUGGAUUACUUUCAGGAUACAUCCAUACCUAUGUCUUCGUGAGAUUCUCAUCUCCGUAUAGUCAUAGGGAAAUGUAUUCCCCUGAACUGAACUCAGUCCGUAUGAGCCUAUAAUGGGUGAGGAUUGAGGAAUCUGCUGGUUCAGGUACCCUUUCUUUAGAACUAAACCGCAUGUAGUGAGCCCUAAGAGCAUACCCUAGGUAGAACCACUCCAAACCCCUAGUGGUCACCCAAAUAGGUGCUCUAUUUAUUUUUGCUUGCUUGUUUUUGCCUUGUACUAACCUAUUUGUUAUGGUUAUGAGUGCAUUGCAUUUUUAUCAUAAAAAAGAUGUGUUGAUUCACGUUCAGUUGCUAAAUAGAGAGCUUGUCAUGGAAAACGAAUUUCUUGAUAAAGUGGAAGACAAUGCGGUUGUCCGGAUAUGGUCCAAGAAAAUGUGAAGAAAGAAGGGUGAUAGUCUAAUGGAGGACUACACGACCUUGCUUCGUUGCCUGAUGAUUCAAGUUGACAAAGAUUAUUCGAGAGUCUUCAAUGUCCCGACCUUUUUAAAGAAGCUAACGAGCGUCACGAGGAUGAGCGAGUAAUGAGUUGCGGCCCGGAUCAAGCAAAAAAAAGAUAGAGGAGACACCCUUUUUGAAGAGUUCACGAGAUUUAUCUUAACAUCUAGACGAAGAAAAAGAUCAAUCUCUUUGCCUAGAGUAUGAGGGCAAAGCCGUAUAUAUAUCCGCUUUAUGUAAAUAAAUUUGUUUUCUAGUAAAGUUUUUCUAAUAGAAUUGAAUCAGAAUCAACGUCUCUUUUUGCAUUCAUUCCAUUCAUCUGCAUUGCAUUUCAUUGCAUCUAGAAUUUCACAAAAGGACCCUAAUUAAUCGAAAUUGUUAUAGCUACCUUGAAAAACUAACGAAAAUUUACCAAUUAAAUAUUCCUAUGGUACCCAUUGCAAAACUAAAGUAAUGGAUCAAAUAUUAGAAAGAUUAGAACAAAUGCUGAAGGAUAAACAUAACUGCUUUGGCUUAGGGUACAAGCCAGAUACAAGACAAAGAAGAAAUAGGAAAGGAGAACACGUUUGAGCGGGGAUGAGGUCAAAUGGGAGGGAUUAUUCAUCCCAGGCGAAGAAUGCCAAGAGAAGAAAAUAUUGAAAACAUGUUGGGAAACGUUCACAUCAAUGCCAUAUACGAAGAAGCAAUUGAAGGAGUGACCUUGUUAGAUAUCCGCCCUUAUGAACCUAAGAGUGUGCUAAACAAUUGGACUGCAGAAGAAAUUCUUGUAGUGUUUAGAGCUUACUCAUAGUAAUGUUCAGAACACACUUGUUGCUUUUAGCCUAGAAGUGAUAAGAAUCCCUCUGUGAAAUAGGCUCAUGUAUAAAAAUCAUUAUUUUAAUGAAGUACAUCUUUGCAUUCAUUUUGAGCAAAUAUUCUUUUAUUCUUUUCAUACGAGUAAUUAUUUUGGAUUCUUUAAUUCUUUUGGGAUUUUCUUCCAAAAUCAUUCUUUUAUUACAUCCAUAAUCAUACUGUACAAAUAAUGUAAUAGCCUGAAUUUUCAGUGGUGUCGGAAUGGUGAUUCAAGAUCACUAAGUCUGACAAAUGAGUAGAAAAUAUUAUUAAUUUAGUAAGAAUAAGUAAAUGUGAAGUUAGGAAAAUUUUUGAAAUAGUGAAUAGUGUACUAGGAAUAAAUAUUAAAAUAAUUAAAAUAAAAAAUGAGGUAUCGAGACCUCGAAGAUUUUAAACCAAGCCAUAAGUACUUUUAGAAGUAUUUUUAGAGUGUCAUUGAGUUGGUAUUAAAGUUUCGUUAGAAAAUUUUAACGCUCGGAUAGUUAAUUAACCAAAAAGGACUAAAUUGAAAAUAGUGUAAAAUUUGUUAAAUUGUGAUUAAAUAGCUUAAGUGAUUAAAAAGGAGGGAUUUAAAAGGCAAUUAGGCCCAAAUUAUAUGGGCUGGACGGUUGGGUAAGAAAAAUCAGCAGAAUGUAAGGAGAAAACAGGGGCAAAAUUGGAAACUUAACAAAUUAAACAUAUAAAACAAAGACAAAAGUGAAAAAUCUAGAGAUCUGUUCACAAUUUAUCAGCAAAAAUGCCAUAGGAGGUCUGAAAGAAGCUGGUUUUUCAUAUAUUUGAAUCAUGUAAGUUUAAUUCUUGAUUAUUUCUUCUAAUUUUUGUGAUUUUGAUACUUUUACAAUUAGGUCCAACUAAUUAUUUCAUUAGUUUUUGAUUUCAUGGCUGAUUUUGAAAGUUACCAUUGAUGAGUGUUGGAUUUUUAUGAUGAAUAAACAUGGAAUUAAAGCUUUAAUUUUGUUAUAUGAUGAUUUUAUUAAGUAAUUUUGAUAGAAAUUGAUUUUUGGGACCUAAUUGUGAAAAAGUUUGGAAUUAGGGUUUGGUGUUGCGGUUUUGAAUAUGAAAGGCUAUGUAGUAGUCUAAAAUAGUUGGAAAAGGUGUUAAUUGAGAAAAAUUAGAUCAAUUGAGGGGUUAAUUGAGUAGGACCAAAUUGUAAAAACUGUAAAGUUUGAGGUAAAAGUGUAAUUUCGAAAAUUUAAGGGCAUAAAUUGUGAAGUGAAUUAGAAUAGAAUUAUAUGCUGAUGAAUGAAUAAAUUUGUAUUUUAGAUCGAGAACCCGAAGCAAGCCGAGGAAAAGAAAAAGUAGUUGAUUAGUCCCUGAACUUUUACAAAUUCUGCAAAUCGACCCAGGUAAGUUCAUAUGGCUGAAAUUUAAUGAUUAAAUGUUAAUUUCAUGAAUUAUGUAAUGUAUGAUGAAAUGUAUUUAGUGUUGAAAUGAGAGUAAAAUAAAAAUGCGAAAAUCGAAUAAAUGAUCAAAUUAAGCGGAACGCCGGAUUUGAGUACUUCUGAUCAAGAGACAAAGUGAUAAGUGGUAGCUUUAGCUACACUUAUCUGAUCAAGUGAAAAAGUGAUAAGUGCUACACUUAUCUGAUCAAGAGACAAAGUGAUAAGUGGUAGCUUUAGCUCACUUAUCUGAUCAAGUGAAAAAGUGAUAAGUGCUAUACUUAUCUGAUCAAGUGACAAAGUGAUAAGUGGUAGCUUAGCUACACUUAUCUGAUCAGGGCCAAAUGAUAAGUGAUCAUACGUAAGACCAUAGUUAUACUAUGGCCAAGUGAAAGUGAAGUACUCAAUUUUCCGUAACCGUUCCUUAAUUUUGAUCAAGGAUGGUAAGUGACAAAUAGGCCCAAAGAAAUUAUGGUAAAAGAAUAAGUAGUAGUGAGUUUAUACCAAGGAACUCUCCAAAGAUUGUGGUUGACAAGUAAACUUAGUAAUGGUGUAUAUUGUAUAAGUGUACAAAUGUUUGGUAAGAUUUAUGUUUGUGCCUAUGAACUUACUAAGCUUUUCUAUAAGCUUACAUGUGUGUGUUUAUUGUUUUUCUAGAUUAACGUAUUUAUACAUUCGGAGGAUCGGAUCUACUUCGAGAAUCACACUAUCCAGAUAUACUCCGGUAGAUUUUGUUAAACAACUUUUUGGAUUUAUAUGGCAUGUACAGAGAAUUGAAGUAAAAAGUAAUAGAAUGAAUGACUGAGUAUGCAAAGUAAAUUUGAAUGUGAUGGUUGUGUUAGAUAUUGAAAAAUACAUGUUUUUAGUUUGAAAUGGUUGAUUGGCUGAACUUCGUUAGUAUUCAAGUGAAGUAGUUGAAAUACUGGAAUUGGUUGUGAUUUGAAAUUUGCAGGGAAGGUUAGAUAAAUAUAAAGGGGUUAUAUUGAUUUUUUUUUUAAAUUUCAAUGGAAUAAUUUUUGGACAGCAGCAUUGAUGUAACUUUUAAAAAUCACCAAAAAUAGUGGAAAUAGAAUUAGAAGUUGAAUGAGAUAUGAAAUUAAAUCUGAAUGAGUCUAAUUUCACAUGAAAGAAGUAGAAUAAGAAAAAGAGUUAUAUAUUUUUAGAUAUUUGAAUUUUAGUGAAACAGGGCAAGAAUGUUUUUGAAGUCCCCUGUUCUGACUUUAGAAAUUUAGUAAAAAUUGUACAAAAGGAAUUAUGAAUUAUAAUUUAUAUGUUUAAAUUCCGUAAUGAGUAUAUUUUAAGUAGAAAUAAUUGGAACCACCAUAUGAAGUCUUUGCAAUGAGAUAAUUGAAUUUUAGUGACAAGAGGUCAGGAUAGUCAAUUAGUGAAAUAGGGGAGACUUCAACUAAUAAACUGUAUUAAUUUGCUAAACCAAAAAUUCUGAAAAAUUUAUGGUGAAUAUACAUAUGAGUCUAGUUUGAGGGAAAAUUUACGGAUCUAAAUUUUUAGUUUCGUAUCUUGAGUUAUAAUUAUUUUAGUGACUACUGCGCAUGUGGACAGCUUUGUUGUGAAUGGUGAAAUUAAUUUUUAAAGUAAAUUUUUAUGCCCCGAACUUUUAAGUUCAGUCAAGUAACGCCUUAUGCUCGACUCCGGCAACCGUCUUGGGUAAGGGGUGUUAUAAAUAAUUAUUCUUAAAUUCAUACAUUCUUUGUAUAUUAUUUUGUACCUACAAUAGGUCCCUAGAUAUUAACAACAUGAGUGACGUUGCUACAGACUCAGAAUUUCCUUUUAAACAAGACAUGUGUUUAGAGGGAUCCCAUGGCUUUGAAGAUGACGUAGACUGUGGCUUAUCUCUGAAUUUGUUAAGGAUGGUAAAACAAGAGGAGAAGCAAAUCCUACCUCACAAGGAAUCAAUGGAAAUUGUGAGCUUAGAAGGGGGAAAAGAGGUGAAGAUUGAGACUAACAUUGCCACAAAGACAAAGCAUGACCUCGUUGAGUUACUCCAAGAAUUUAAAGAUGUCUUCGCAUGGUCAUACCAGGAUACUCCCGGGUUAAGUACUGGCAUUGUAGUACACUACCUUCUUAUAAAAGAAGAUUGCAAGCCAGUUUAGCAGAAACUCUGAAGGAUGAGGCCUGAUAUUGUGCUAAAAAUAAAAGAAGAAGUUAAAAAGCAAUUUGAUGUUGGGUUCUUACAAGUGGUUAAAUAUUCAGAAUGAGUAGCCAACAUCGUCUCAGUCUCUAAAAAAGAUGGGAAAGUACGAAUGUGCAUAGAUUACAGAGACAUGAACAAGGCCAGCCAAAAAGAAAAUUUCCCAUUGCCUCACAUUGACACUUUGGUGGAUAAUACAGUAGGCUACUCACUGUUUUCCUUCAUGGACGACUUCUCUGGAUACAACCAGAUAAAGAUGCAUCCCAAAAACAUGGGAAAGACUACAUUCGUGACCCUAUGGGGAAUGUUUUGCUAUAAAAUGAUGUCAUUCGGAUUAAAGAAUGUGGGAGCGACGUAUCAAAGGGAAUGGUAACCUUGUUUCAUGACAUGAUGUACAAGUAAAUCGAGGUUUAUGUUGACGAUAUGAUUGCAAAAUCCAGAACAGAAGAGGAACAUGUGUAGGCCCUAAGAAAAUUAUUCUUAAGACUGAGAAAGUUCCAGCUCAAGCUUUCCAACGAAAUGCACAUUCAGAGCUAGGUUAGGAAAGCUGUUAGGCUUCACAGUUAGUGAAAAAGGAAUCGAGAUCAACCCAGAUAAAGUCAAUGCGAUACGAGAUUUACCUCUACCAUGCACUCAGAAGGAAGCUCGAGGUUUCCUAGGAAGACUGAAUUACAUUGCUCGAUACAUUUCACAACUAACCGAAAAAUGUGACACCAUAUUAAAAUAAAAAUAGAUUAAAUUGUAAGUAAAACAUAAUUUAAACAUAUGAAUACAUCAAAUUAAUAAUACUAAAUGAAUACAGUUAUUUAUGAUGAUGUUGUUGCCAAUUCCUAAUUUGGUGUCUAGUUAAUUUGUGACAUCAUAAAUUUAAGUGAUAAAUUUAAGGUUUUAUGUAUUGAUGUGGAUUCAAAUAUCACCAUAAUUUUUGUAAAUAAAAAACUAAUAAGAUAACUUAUAUUAAGUACGAAAGGGUAUUUUUAUAAUUUCUCUAAUCGAGUUGGUGCCCGGUUGACUCAUGACACUAACUCAAUCAGAAGCUUUAAUAAUAAUAUAGAUAUUCAUGUUAAAAAAACAAAAAAAAAGUACUUUAGUUCCAAAUAAUUAUAUAACAAGUAAAUUUAUAAUUGAUGAAUAAAUUUAUAAAUAAUAUAUUUAUAUGAUCUAAUAUAUUAUAUUUAUAUUAAUUAUAUAUCAUCUACAAACUUUGAAGAUCAAUUUAUUAAGUAAAAAUGAAAUUGUUAACACUAAAUCAAUUUUUAGAUUUUGUAUAGAUGAUUUAGUGAUGAUAAAAACAUUAUUAACACUAUUUUUUAAUUAACAAAAAAUUAGUGAUAUAUUUAAAUUAUAUUUAUCAUUUAUUAUUUUUAAUAAUAUUUUUUAAUUAUAUGAAGUAAAAUUAUAUUGUAUACUAAAUAUGGUACAUAUACUCUAAUUAUAACUUGAAAUUUUAUUAUAUAAAUUAAUAUAAAUUUGAAUAACAAAAUAAAAAAAAACUAAUUAGAAUAAUUUUAAAAAACAUUAUUUAAAAGUAGUUAAAAAUCACGUGCAACAGGUGAGAUCAAUGGUCUUUAGAGAAGAAAUGUUGAAGAUCAAAGUUGGAAUCUGGCCUAUAAGGCCUUUAAUUGCUUUAAUAUUAAGCAGUUCCAAACCAAGAAGAUUACCGAUUUCCUCAGGAAUUUGACCUGCACACAUGGUCGAAAAAUCAAUGUGUCAAACUACCUAUUUUGUUAGCAUAAGUCAAAGAGGUUUUCUUUUCUAUUCUACAUAAUUUGCAGAUGUUAGAUUUUAAUAUUUUUAAGCAUAUUUGUUUUCAUCAAAUUAACUAUUUUGAACUAUUUUGCCUUGAAUGAAAUAAAAUGCUCUUACUUUUGUUAUCUAUUACUAAUCAAACUCUUUUAUAAAAAAAAUACUUUAAACUAAAGAAACCAAGAAAAUUCAAUACCUUCUAGGUUAUUCAACCCCAAAUAUAAUUCUUUGAGUCGUGUCGGAUUUCCAAUACUUCUUGGAAUGAUCCCCAUCAAUUGAUUAUAGGAAAAUGACAAAAUUUUAAGGUUGUUGCAUUUGCUUAUACUUGACGGAAUGUUACCAUAUAAUUCAUUCCGACUCAAGUAAAGCCCUUCAAGCUUGGAAAGAUGUGACACAUAUCAUUAGGCAAGCUACCUGAUAGGCUAUUGUUGGAGAGAUCAAUGGCCUUCAGAGAAGAAAUGUUGAAGAUCGAAGUUGGAAUCUGACCUGUAAGGCCUUUAAUUGCUUUAAUAUUAAGCAGUUCCAAACCAAGAAGAUUACCGAUUUCCUCAAGAAUUUGACCUGCACACAUGGUCGAAAAAUCAAUGUGUCAAACUACCUAUUUUGUUAGCAUAAGUCAAAGAGGUUUUCUUUUCUGUUCUAUAGUAAUUUGGUGAUGUUAGAUUUUAAUAUAAUUCAGCACAUGUUUUUCAUCAAAUGAAAUAAAAAGUUUUUCCUUUUGUUAUCUAUUACAAAUCAAGCUCUUUUAUUAAAAAAAUACUUUAAAUUCAAGAAAUCAAGGAAAUUAAUUACCUUCUAAAUUAUUAAACCCCAAAUAUAAUUCCUGGAGUCGUGUUAGAUUUCCAAUACUUCUUGGAAUGAUCCCCAUAAAUUGAUUAUGGGGCAACAACAAAUUUUUAAGGAUGUUUCAUUUGCCUAUGCUUGACGGAAUGUUACCAGAUAACUCAUUGCUAUGCAAGUGAAGCCCUUCAAGCUCGGGAAGAUGUUGACACAUAUCAUUAGGCAAACUACCUAAUAGGCUAUUCCUGGAGAGAGCAAUAGUCUUGAGAGAAAAAUGUUGAAGAUCGAAGUCGGAAUCUGAUCUGUAAGGCCUUUAAUUGCUUGAAUAUUAAGCAUUUCCAAACUAAAAAGAUUACCGAUUUCUUCAGGAAUUUGACCUGCAGACAUAGUCGAAACAUCAAGGUGUUAAAUUUCCUAUUUUGUUAGUGUAAAUCAAAGAGGCUUUUUAUUUUUUUUCGUUAUGAAAUAAUAUGGAUAUGUUCGAUUCUAAUCAUAUUUAAGUAUAUAUUAGUUCUUGAAAGAAUGAGUUCUUAUUUUUGGUAUUUAUAUUGCAAAUAUAUAUUUUUUUAAAUUUAAAAGAAGGGAGGGGGCAAAUGUGUUUAAACUAAAGACAUCAAGGAAAAGGCAUACCAAGUAUAAUUGUUUAAGUUGUGUCAAAUUCCCAAUGCUUUUUGGAAUGAUCCCACUAAAUUGAUUAAUAGACAAUUCCAAAAUUUGAAGGUUGCAGCAUUUGUCUAUACUUGAUGGAAUAGAACUUGAUAAUUCAUUUCUACUCAAGUAAAGCUCUUUCAGCUUGGGAAGAUGGACACACAAAUCAUCGGGCAAGCCACCAGAAAGACUAUUAUCACAAAAAUGAAUCCUUUUCAAAGAAGAAAUGUUAAAGAUGGAAGAUGGAACCUGGCCAGAUAAUUGAUUGAAUCCCAAGUUCAAGAUCUCUAGAUUGGACAAGUUGACAAGUGUUUGAGGGAUCGUGCCUGUGAAGUUAUUAUUUCUCAUUUCCAACCUUUGAACUCUGUGCAAGUUCCCAAGCCAUGGUGGAAUUUCCCCAUUAAGACGGUUGUAGCUUAAUCGAAUGAUCCUCAAACGAUGCAAUUGGCCUAAUUCUUUAGCCAGAUGGCCGUAGAAAUUGUUGUUGCUCAAGUCGAUAGAAAAUAGAAAUGAAAGAUUUCCAAGGUGUGGAGGGAUAGUACCCCUAAGAUUCAUGUUUGUAAGAUUAAUCAAAGCUACAACUCUUUCAUGGAUGAUGCCACAAGAAACACCAACCCACUUACAGACAGAGGUAGAGUUCGUCCAAUUGUUUGCCAACACAUUUUGAGGAUCGACAAUGCGAUCUUUAAACUCAAAGAGUGCAAACUGAUCGGAGUUGAGAUUCCGGACUGUCAUAGCCAAGGAAACAAUAGAACAUUGUAUGAAUAAAAGUGAAAGAAGAUGAAAGCAAGUGUUGUAGUUCAUGAUGGCAAGACGAAAUAAGCCAGGAAAAGGGAAGUUGAAUUGAUGAAGAAAUAGCCAGCCAACAUGCUUAAAUAGGCUUCAACCCUUGCACACUUCUCAUACAUAAAGUUCGCUGCCAUUACAACAAGAAAACUCAUAUCUCCAUUCGUACCUAUCCAUACUUUAUUUGACUAACUUUUCCCUAACAAGUGUUCAGUAAGGAGAUAAAUCAGUUUGGAGCUAUUCACCGGCUUCUCCAAUCUUGGUUUCAAACUCCUAACCCAUCAAUUCACUUUAAUUGAAACGAUAUACACGAGUCUUUCGGCUUAUAUUUUUAAUUUAAUUUUUGUUACUUUUCAUAAUAUUUUUUGAGAAAUCCAAAUAUUCCAGUCUGAAAUUUCUUCAUUGCCACGUCUAUCUCCUGGGUAAGUCCGUGGUUAGGCAGCCCACUUUGGGAGCAGGAUUGUAAUUGUAAUUCUAUCCGACUCAUUUUACUAUUUAGAAAUAUAAAAGUAAUAUUAUAUUAUUUUUUAUAUUUUUAUAAAUUUAAUUUUAAUUAUAAUUUUUAAACAAUAAAACGAGUCAUUUGUAUUUGCCUAGUCUAAAUUGAAUCAGGAGUCAAAAAAAUUUUAAUCAUAAUUUACUAUUAUUUUAAUUAAUUAAAAUUUAACCUACUACAACUAGUAGUUGCAGAAAAAAUGUCAUUCCUUUAGAAAAACGAAAAUCCUUUAGAAAAAUGAGAACUUAUGAAGCAUUCAAUAAGAGUCAUUGGAAUAAAUGGUAACGAAAUCAUAAUUCAAUAUAAAGCUAAAAAAUGUACCAAUCUAUAUAAAUAAUGUAAGAUUUGUGAUACCUAAAUUAUUAUAUUUUCCAUAAAUAUAUGAAGAUAUUUUAUUAGGAAAUAAUUUUAUAUAUAAAAUUUUUUAUUUUCUUUUGAUAGAAAUUUAAUUAUGUUAUCUGUAGAAAAAAAUAUUUAUAGAAAUAUUAUUAGUAGAAAAUCAUAAAUUUGUGUGUGGCAAAAAAAAUUCACCACCAAGAAAGGGGCAAAUUAAACAACUUGAAACAAGUCAUUGGUUGUUUAAAAUAUUAGAUAAUAAUUUCAGUGAAGAAUCAUUAAAAUUAUGACAAAAUAACCCUAGAUAUUGUAGUAUUAAAUUGGAAAAUCUCAAUAAUAUUAUUAGAGUAAAACCUAUGAUCUAUCUAAACAAGAUAUAGAAGAUUUUGAUAUACAAAUUAAGGUUAGAAAUCAUGCGGAAAUAAAAAAGAAAAAAAAGCUAGUAUGGUCAUUAAUUAUAAAAGAUUAAAUCAAAAUAUUAUUUUUUUAUAGUUACUUGAAUUAAUCAGGCUAAACAAACAAAAUAUUUUAGUAAAUUUGACUGCAAAUCAGGAUUCUAGCAAAUCAUGAUAACAGAAAAGUCCAAACCUUUAACGGCUUUUAGUGCACCCAAUGGACAUUACCAAUGGAAAGUGAUGUCAUUUCAAUUAUGUGAUGCACCACAAAUCUUCCAAAGACGAAUGGAUUUUAUAUUUAAUAAAUAUAAAAAAAUUCUAUGUAGUCUACAUAGAUGAUAUUUUUUAUAUUUUUAGAUACACUAGAAUUACAUAAGAAACAUUUAAAUAUUAUUUCUUAAGAAUUCAUAAAAUAUAGAAUCAUAUUAAACCCUAAAAAUAUAGAGUUAGAAAAAAGAGAGAGAAUUUUUAUAAUAGUGGAAAUAAAAAAUUGUCCUCAAAAGAUUGAAGAAAAAAAGAACUUCCAACAAUUUCUAAUAUAUUCCUCCCAAAUUUUCAGUUUCAAUUUUAUUACAGAAUUUCUUUGCCGACAAUAAGAAAUUAAGAGCGCUCUUUAAGUUGAAUAUAGUCCGUCAGAUAUGGCUAUCUAUAACAUGGAACCUUUGGUUUUCAAGCUGAAUAGGAGAAUUGAUUCACUUGAUAAGUAUGAAAAAUUGAAACUGCUAAAUUUAAGUGCACUAACUCUGGAUAUCAUCAUUAUUUUUCUGUACAUUAAAGUACCUGUUUGAUAUGCGAUUUCUGCCUCAAACUAUCAACAUCUUUAACAUCCUUUUGCUAUAGUUAGCAUGGGUACUUCCUUUUAGAUUAACAGUUAGGUUUGAACUGUGAAUUAGAUUUCUGUGGCUGCUGGGAUUGAAGAAGUUAGUAUGCGAAUGACAUUGGACAAAUUUGGCAAAGUCUUCUCCAUCAGUGAAGAAAACCCCUUGGCGUAUGAAAAAUGUUCACCAUCUUAGACAUUUGUUUUCUUAUUGUAAGAAUAUUUUUAACAUUGUAACUUUUAACAUUAUUGUAAGAAUAUUUUGAAUUAUACUUCAGUUAUCAAUUUAUAUCAUAUAUCUUUUGUUGAAUUUGAAGUAUAAUUUAUAUUUGCUGUUUUUGGUUAGAUUUCAUGCUAUAGGAAGGGUUGUAUAUGGAUAGAAAUUGAAUGUUACAAAUCUGCCAAAGUUAGUGGCGUUUUUUCAUAAGAGCUGCUAAAGAAUGCUAUUUUUGGCGGUGUUUGUAAUAAAAGAGCCGCUAAAGGUCAUGUUCUUUAGCGAUGUUUGUGGGUAAAGCGCCGCUAAAGAUCAUGUUCUGUAGCUGUGUUUGUGGAUAAAGCGCCGCUAAAGAACAUGACCUUUAGCAGCGUAUUUUCACAUAAACGCCGCAAAAUUUAGCGGCUUUGUCUAUAGCGACUUUUUUUGCAGCGCUUUAAGUUUUAGCGGCGCUUUUAGGCCUAAAAAAGGGCCGCUAAAAGCCUGUUUUGCUGUAGUGAGCAUAUUUACAUUUUCGUCCCAAUUUCAACUAACACCCCAUCUAUUUCCCACUUCCCUUUUUCGGGCAAUUUCAACUAACACCUUCAUAUCAAACAUAACUAUUUUUCAAUUUUUCUUCUUUAUUUCAUUAAUAAAAUUAUCAAUCUAUUUGUUUUUAAAUAUAUAAUUUCAUUAAUAUUUUUUAAAUUAUAAUAUAAGAGUUGUUGUUUAUUUAUAGUUUUAUUACAUUAUUUACUCUCUCUUUUCUAUCAAGUUUUUUAAAUUAUAAUAUAAGAUUUAUUUUAUCAAUUUGUGGCUUAUCCAGUAUUCAUCUAUUUUAAUAAUAACUUGAGUUCCAGUCAUUAUCAUACCAGAAAGAGUUCCAUUUAUUCUUUAUCGUAAAUUUUAUAAAAAAAUAUACAUUUUAUUAUAAUACUAUAUGUGUUACGAAUAAUAUUUUAUUGUGGAUGCCCAUAAUUUUCAAAGUUGUAACCUCUAAUGUAGUAACCUUAAUGAAAUUAUGAGGCUUUUAUAUUGUAAUCAAGCCUCUAUUUAUUCUUUGUAACUUAAACAGAAGCAUAUUUUCUAUUAUAUUGAUAUUUUUUAUAGAUAUAUAUAUAUAUAUAAGGAAUCAAAUAAAAAGUUAUUUACCUUUCUAUUAUAUUGAUAUUUUCUAUUUGAUUUGUUCUUUUCUUUCACUAUUCCAUAAUAUAUUAUCAGUACGAUUUUAACCAAGAGUAACAUGUUAUUAGAUUGUGUCAAAAUUUUGUUGAGAAUCAUUAGAUUGUUUCCUUUUUCUUCUAUUUAGCCCCAAAUUGCACCCCUACACAAAAUUCAACAAAAACAUGGAAAAAUUAGUGGUGCACUCUCAUAAAUUAACCAAUUUAAUUACAUAAAAUAUGUAACUUUAGCAUUUUAUCAAUCAUGUUCUUUAGCGGCAUUUGUGGGUAAAGCGCCGCUAAAGGUCAUAUUCUUUAGCAGCGUUUGUGAUAAAAGUGCCACUAAAUAUCAUGUUCUUUAGCGGCGUUUGUGGAUAAAGCGCCGCUAAAGAACAUGACGUUUAGCAGCAUUUUUUUACAUAAACGUUGUAAAAUUUAGCGGCGUUGUCUAUAGCGACGUUUUUUGCGGUGCUUUCAAAUAGUUUUAGCGGCGCUUGUAGGCCUAAAAAAAUGCCGCUAAAAGUCUGUUUUGCUGUAUGAGCAUAUUUACAUUUUCGUCCCAAUUUCAACUAACACCCCAUCUAUUUCCCACUUCCCUUUUUCAGCCAAUUUCAACUAACACCUUCAUUUCAAACGUAAUUGUUUUUCGAUUUUUCCUCUUUAUUUCAUUAAUAAAAUUAUCAAUCUAUUUGUAUUUUAAAUAUAUAAUUUUAUUAAUAUUUUUUAAUUAUAAUAUAAGAGUUUUUGUUUAUUUAUAGUUUUAUUAUAUUAUUUACUCUCUUUUUUCUAUCAAGCUUUUUAAAUUAUAAUAUAAGAUUUAUUUUAUCAAAUGGUGGCUUAUCGAGUAUUCAUCUAUUUUAAUAAUAACUUGAGUUCCAAUCAUUAUCAUACCAGAAAGAGUUCCAUUUAUUCUUUAUCGUAAAUUUUAUAAAAAAAUAUAUAUUUUAUUAUAAUACUAUAUGUGUUAGGAAUAAUAUUUUAUUGUGGAUGCCCAUAAUUUUCAAAGUUGUAACCUCUAAUGUAGUAACCUCAAUGAAAUUAUGAGGCUUUUAUAUUGUAAUCAAGCCUCUAUUUAUUCUUUGUAACUUAAACAGAAGCAUAUUUUCUAUUAUAUUGAUAUUUUUUUAUAGAGAUAUAUACAUAAGGAAUCAAAUAAAAAGUUAUUUACCUUUCUAUUAUAUUGAUAUUUUCUAUUUGAUUUGUUCUUUUCUUUCACUAUUCCAUAAUAUAUUAUCAGUACGAUUUUAAUCAAGAGUAACAUUGUAUUAGAUUGUGUCAAAAUUUUGUUGGACUUCAAGUAUUGGAAUUUAAUUGUUUAAGUUAAGAAUCAUUAGAAUCAAUGGCUAUUUGAGAUAUGCUUGAGGAUGAUCUCAUUCUAUUCAUCACAAAGGUGGAGGUUAGAAAAUCUUUAUGUUUAAACAUUUAUAGCUUUAAAGUUAUUUUAACCUCUUAUUGUGACCUUAUAAUAUUUUGUAAUUUUUUGUAUUAUGGUAUAUAAAAAAAAUCUAACCAUAGUGAUUGAUUAGUAAUAUGAAUUUGUUAUUUGUUAUGUUUAAUAUAUAUUUUAUUUAUACUUAUUCAUUUUAUUUUUAUAUGAGUAAAUGAAGUGUUUGAAGAUUCGAAAUUUUUAUCAUCCAAGUUGAAAAUAAGUGCAAAAGUGUACAUUAUUUAAAAUAAAUUACGCAUUCAUUAAUGUUAUAUGAUAAAAUCAUUACAUGUUCUAAAGAACUAAUAUUGCAUCAAACUGUAAAAAGCUCUUGAAGAGUUAAUAUUUUACCUCCUUGUGAUACAAAAUCAUAUACAAUAUGAUAUUAUUUUUCAAAUCGAGUAGAUAUAUGUUGAGGGAAAUCUUUAUGUGGUUUACAUUAAAACCAUGGAUAGAAAUGACAUGAGAUACUCGUGUAUUUUUAUUAUAAAUAUUCCUUGAAGGAAGACACUUCACUUGUAUGAUUGACAUAUGAGAUAGUGGCAAGAAGUUCAUAGUGUUGGUAUGGUCGUCUAGAUCAUCUCAAAUCAAUAAUGAUGCAAAAUAAUUUGAAGAGAAUUUAUAUGAUUUUAUUGAAGAAUGAGAAGAUAUUUUCAUUUUGAUAAUUGUCAUCAAUACUAGUUCUUUGGAAAAAAAAUAUUGAACUAACAUAAAGUUAGAGGUUGGUUGCAUUUUUUGAUGAUAUCCAAAUAAUAUAUGAGCUCAUGUAUCACAUGUAUGCAACCCAAAGUUUACAGUAUUAUUUCUUGAAAUAAUUUGAUUCUACACAAUCUCUAUAGUAUGCAAUUUGUGCUAACAACGUUGGUGCAUUAUAUCCUAAGCUUGAUUUUCGUAGUUUUAGCUGAGAUAAUAUUAAGUUGUCUAUGCCUAUAUAUGUUAUACUUAAUGGUUAGCAAAAUUGUGCCUCCAUUUAAUUGCUUAACCAUUAAUAUAAGAAUAACUUUAAAAUAAGCAUGUAAUUUUAUUUGCAUAGAGUCAACAUGUAAGAAACAUUUGCCCCAUGAGAAUUGGCUUUCAUUUAUAAGCCAAUAGGUUUCAUAUGACUAUUUGGAUGUAAAAUAUCUAUUUUAUAUUCCACCAUAAUGCACUAAGAUGGUCCAUCAAGUAUGAAGUUGAGAAAAUUUAGAAUUUUUAUUUGAUGGUAAAAGUUGAAAAGAGAUAUAUACUUAUAAUUUUGAAAAAAAUAGUCAUGUUGCAAAUUUUUCUCAAUAUUAGGGGGAGACAAGUUGGACAAAUAAGGAUAAUUAUGUCAUCACUUUUUGUGAUCCCUCACUAAUAUUAUGUGCACAAAGUUUGAAGGAAAAAAGUAUUUGCUAGACAUGUUUAGUGAUGACACUUAGAGAUUGUAUAUACUAGAUGAUACAUAUACCAGCUAAAAUGUUCCAAAUAAUUAUGAGUCCUAGAAGGACAUAGUGAUAAAAAUAAUUUUUGGGCACGCUAGAAGGAUAAAAAACUAGUUCAUUCUAUAAAUCAAAAAAUUCUUGAAAGAAAAGAGUAAGAAAUGAAGCUGGCCACACAUUAAAGGAAACGAGUACUCAUGAAGAGACCUAAGGCAUAACUUUUAAUAAAACCCCAAAAGAGGUUCAAUACAUGGAAUUAUGAAUAUAAUAAGAUAUCUCGAUUAGUUAUAUCAUAACUAAAGAUGAUGGGGUUGAUAAAAGGAAAUUGUUGUUAACAACGAUAAUCUAAGUAGAACAUUUCAAUAUUAUGGUAAAAUGAGUAUUUUGAAUGAAAAUAUACUUGAAAGUAUUUAGAUGGGAACAACUCAUCAAAAUAAAUAGACGUUUCUAUUAUAACUUAUGAAAUGUGUCUCGGACAUGAAGUCCAAACAUUCGACAGGUGUAAAGCCAAGUGGAGUAUAUGUUAGCAUAAUAGUGAAAAAAUACAAAUCAUAAUAUAUAAAAUUGACUUGUAAGACAAACUUUCCCAAGACACUUGAUUUUGAUUAUGAAAAAUGAUUAAUUUGUGAUCUUAUCAAUUGAACAUACUUUGUAUAAUCAACAAAUUAUUAAUUAACCUCAUUUAACCAAUUUCCUUCAACACAUUUCAAAUCAAAUUAAUGUGUUGAGCACGCCCUUAACCCUUUUUCUUGAUUCAUUGCAUAGUCUAUUUCCAAGUACCAUAAUCAUCAACAUUUCAAUAUAUAAAGUCAUAACAUAAUGAAUCAUAGUUAGAAUUUUUUUUACCCUAUUAACCAAGUAUGGAACAAAAAUAAAAACCUAAUUUGUCAAGCUCAUUCAAUCAGCUUAUAUAUUAUAAGAAGAGCCUAAGUAUAAAUCCUAUACAUGAUUUCAAAUUCAACUAUUUAUAUUUGAGAUUCAAUUUAAAAUUCAUACUGAAAUUAUCAAAUUAACUCGUAAGCUACUCACGCUAAACAUUAAGGUACUCGAAUUCAAGUGGCUAGAUAUCAUAAACACUUUUAGCUUGUAAAACUAUUUCUAAGGGUCAGCCCAGAAUCAUGGUUGAACCCAAAAUCUGGUAACAAAAAUUUAAUUGAGCCAUCAGCCUAAAACAAAAAAGGCUUAAAAGGUUGGCACCCGAACAAUCAAAGAUAAACACCACCAUAUGCCACUCCCUGAAUCCGAUACAUACAAUAACACCCUUCACCACUUUUAUUCUUCUCCUUUUUUUUAACCUCAAUUUGGAUGGUCGCAUUUCUCUUUUUAGUGCUUUAUAGGGUUUGGGCUUUCAGAAUCCUCAGAGAUGCAAUUCAUGGAUCCCUCUAAGAAAUGCAAGCUUGAUGAAAAUGGUAUUAUUUCAACGGCAUCAGAACCUGACCCAAUCACCAAACUAACCCCACAAGAUGGCCGCAAGCUAAUCGAGCAAUUUAUCGUCGAUCAACUCCUUGACGUCCUCCAAGAUGCUGUUUGUUGUCACCUUGAUGUUCUUUCCGCCGUACACUCUAUUGCCGAUCAAGAUCCAUCUCAAAGGAAGCUUUUCAUCCGUGGUUGGGUUGGGAUACUACAACCCAACCCAACCCACAUUAGCAUACUACCAUGCGGUAACUUCUAGUGAUUUCUGUCUGUAACAUUAGACAGGUUAACAGUUAAAUCGUUCAACUGAAAGAUUUCUUUGAAGGAAGAGGUCAAUUGAUUUUUUUUGGAAUCAUUGUGUACUCAGUUGCAUUUAAGACGGGUAUCAUUCAUAAAGUAUAUAUCUACAUCAAGAAUGGUAGCCUCUUAUAUUAUAUUCAUGUAUUUAUUUUGCAUCUUUAAUUAUAAUAGGAUUUUUUUUGUUUAUUUAUAGUUUUAAUUAUAAUAUUUUUUAAAUAUGCCAAAGUAAAUUAUGUACCAAUUUUAAACUUCUCCUAGGUAAUUUAACGUAAGGGCAUUUAUGUUAUUUUACCACUUAUGAUAAAACUAACCUAAUUUUAGAUCUAAGUGUUUACCAACCUUCUUUUAGUCAAAUUAUGCAAGCCUAAAAUUUUUAGCUUAAUUUGAGUUUGUUUACUAUGUCUAAUUCAAGUUUUAUUAUUAAGAACUAAAUUGUAACUUAAACAAAUUAGAAUACCAAUUUAAAGAGACAAAAAUUCAAAGCCCCAAAACCCACACGGGCAUGUGGGUAAGUGACACAGGCGUGUGGAAACUGGAGCUAUCACACACGGGUGAGUGGGACUGAAAAAUAUGAAAUAAAUUAAUCCAUUUAAAUUUCCAACAACCAUGCUAUACUACCAAACCAAAUAAUGUUAGAAGCUUUGAAUAGGGGCGAAUCUUAAAAAAAAUAGAAGAAUUAGAAUUAAAUUAUAAAAUUUUGAGAAGUUGUCAUGUAUUAAUUUAUUAUUUUUUAAAGGGUCUUAAUAGAUUUUUUUUCCCCAUUUUGGUUUGGCCAAUACCCCUGUCUGCCUCUUUCAAUUUGCUUCAACCCUUAGCCCAAUAUUCGAUUUGUUGUGGAAGUUUGACGCAUAAAAAUUCCUUUUUUAGAGGUUUAAAUUAUAAAUUUUUAUUAACAAAAUAUAAAAGAAAAAAACAUGUGUAGACAAGCCAAGAAACCUUUGGGAUCAUACAGGUGAUUUUGAGAUGUUCAUGGUUAUUUUGGUGGAGAGGGUAAAAAAGAAACAAAUGAUUCAUUAUAUAUGAUAUAAUUAUGAAAUUCAAGCCAUAUAUUGUAUGUUUCAUCCAUACAAAUUUCUUGUAGCAUUAAAUGACUCGUAGGCUUGCUGAAUUUCUUUGAAAGGCCCAAAGGCAAUUUAACAUUCACAAAAUAAUCUCUAAAUAGUGUAAAGACAAAUCAAAUCCACAGUAGCAUUAGAGUUGAUUAAGCUAAGCAUUGGCAAAUAUUACUUUGAUUUUGCAUGCAAUAUUGGCAAAACCCCCUCUUACAUUAGAAAAACAACAUAAUCCAUGAAACAUUGAUAGCCCAAUACAAAUUUCAUCGAGAAAAAAGUCUCUUUGUUUUGUAGAACAUGAUAGUAAAGAUGUGGAGUUUCGUUCUUCUUAUUGGCCUCCUUUAGUUUUCCUUGAUCAACAACCACUAGCCAAAAACACAAUUAGAUUAGAUUAUGAAUGAUACUUUCAACUAUGACAAUAUUAAAUACAAACCACUCUAAAUAACUCUAAAUAAAUGGAAAGCAGCAAAUUACCAGACGAGGCAAGCUAGCUCAAUUAAGACCAUUGUGUUAUACUUGUCUCUGAAUUGAAAAAUUUAGAAGGAAAUAAAGAGAAAGACUUAGAAAAUACUUGAAAACAGAAAAAAAAAUUAUGUCAUUUAAAAUAAAAAAUUUCUAUUCAAGCCAUUUAAAAUUUGUAAGAUUUUUAAAAUUUUAAAAUGAUAAAGGUAAAAUUGUACUUUGGCACCCCAAAAAUGAUAAAACUUUGAUUUAAUUAUUUAAAAAUUAUAAAAAUAUAGGCUAUUAAAAUGGUGAAAUUAUAUUUUUACUAUAGUAAAAAUUACAAUUUAAUUUCACCCCUAAAAGGAUUUUCUGGCUUCGCACCUAAUAAAAUCUUUGGCAAAAGACUAAAAUAAAAUUAUACCAUGAAUGGAAAAAGAAACUAAUAAAAUCCAAUCUAACAAAGAAAAUAACUUGAUGUCCAAAAGCUACCAUAAACCGUAAUUCAUGGGAAGGCUUGUUGCUUAUUUUAUUGGUUUCCAUUUUGAAAGAAGUUUGAAUUUUGAAGAGAGCCUACUACGUGAAAGCAAAAGAAAAAAAAAUAGUUUAUAUGAUUAAAAUUCCAGAAUAGAUUAAAAAUGUUGAAUUAAAGAUAAAAUUAAGUGUGAAUUAAUAACCACAAGUGUACUCUUUACUCACCAUCUCUGUUAAAAAUGUUGGAUGUUGUUUAGCAACCUUUGUUUGAUUUUCUUCAGCUCAACCACAACAUCUUUCAUAUCUUUUCUUUCUUCUGGUAACUCAGCUGAACAAUUCAAAGCCAACUCCAUGAUAGAUGAAAUACAAUUUGCUUUAACAACAAUGUACUCAUCCUCUCUUCUUAAUAAAUCAACAUCUGCAAUUUCUAUCGCUCCUUUAGGCAAUGAUCUUUCCAUCCAAUGCCUUAUACUCUCUUCUUCAACAAAAACCUUAUCAGUUGGCUUUUUCUUUGUGAAAGUUUCUAUAAGGACGAUCCCAUAACUAUAGACGUCAGAUUUUAUAGAAACAAUUCCUGCUGAUCCAAAUUCUGCAUUUCAAGUAUAAUUAGAACAUCAUUCAUCCUCAAUUAUUUCUAAAACGCUUAUUCAAAUAUCUAUCCACAUACACGUGAAACAAGAAUAUAAAAUACAAAUUAGGAAAAUAAUCAUACAAAAAUAAAAAAAAGAAUUCACCUGGUGCCAUAUACCCAAUAGUUGCAAGAGUCAUGGUUUGCUUCAUUACUUCACCUUCUCCCAACAAUUUGGCAACGCCAAAAUCUCCAACAUGUGCAACCAUGUCUUCAUCUAGUAAAAUAUUGCUUGGUUUUAUGUCACAAUGAAUUAUAGGUGUUGGAUGUCCAUUGUGGAGGUGUUCUAUAGCUACCGCAACAUCUAUCAUUAUGUCGACCCUUUGUAUGAUACCAAGGAAACAAUUUUCAGAAUGUAACCAUUUCUCAAGGUUUCCAUUAGACAUGUAAUCAAGCACCAAGGCUUUGAAGUCAACACUUGAGCAGUAAGUAAUGACCUUCACAAUAUUACGAUGAACUAUAUUAAGCAUAGCAUCACAUUCAAUGUCAAAACUCCUAAAUGCUCCCUCUGUUUGCAAAUUGAAAACUUUUAUUGCAACUUCCAUUCCAUCUGAAAGCCUCCCUUUAUAUACAUAUCCAAAACUCCCUGAACCAAGCGUAUUGCUUUCCUCAAAUCCAUUAGUUGCUCGUGAAAGUUCAGCAUGUGAAAUUCUUCUCAGUGUCUUCAAAGACAACAAAUCAUCUUUAACUGGUAGAGCUGUACUCCUUUGGCAUCUUCUAUACAUAAUAGUUAAGACUAUUAGUACUAGGACAAUACCAAUUGUUGGUAAACCAUACCUAAAAGCAUGCAAUAUAAUCAUUUGGGAGUUUUUGUGGAUGUCAUUUUUGCAAGGUGGGACUAGCAAUCUAGGUGGACCACAAAGUGCACAAUUAUUCAUGAAUGAUGUGCUAGAAAAGUUUGAAAAACAUCCUUUGCUGGGAAUUUCCCCUUCAAGUCUAUUGAAAGACACAUUAAAAUACUUUAGAUAUAAAAGCUUUUCCAAAGAUUUGGGAAUGACUCCAGAGAGAUUGUUAUUGCAUAAAUCCAAGAAUUCCAAACUAAUCAACCCAUCAAAUGAUUCAGGGAUAUGACCAUGUAGUAUAUUAUUUGAUAAAUCUAAUGAAACCAAAGUUUGAAGACCCCCAAAUGUGGAUAAGAUAUCGCCCAUGAGAAGAUUCCUUGAUAAAUUUAGUCUCAGUAGACUCCUAAAGUUUCCAACAUCAAUAGCAUGCGAAUUGUGAAGAUGGUUUGAUGAUAAAUCUAUUUCUAAGAUAUCUUUAAGAUUCCAUAAAGUUGAGGGUAUUGCGGAACUCAAUUUGUUGGAAUCUAACCAAAGAUAUCUCAAAGCAGAAAUAUUACCUAAACAAGAGGGUAUGGAUCCAUGCAGCUUAUUCAACCCUAAAUACAUCUUGAAUAGUCUCUCCAAACCACAGAGGCUUUCUGGGAUAGGCCCUUCUAAUUUAUUAGAGGAAAGAAAUAGACCUUGGAGAUUUAUCAUUCCUCCUAUUGAUGCUGGAAUCAAUCCACUUAAUUUAUUAUAGCCAAGUUGUAAAACCAACAUGUUGCUUAAGUUACCUAUUUCCAUAGGAAUAAUGCCUUGAAGCUCACACUCUGUGGCACGAAAGUAUUGAAGGGAUUUUGAAAGGUUCCCGAAAUAAGUAGGAAGAACGCCACUCAAUGGAUUUCCUGAAACAAUUAUUCUUUUCAAAUGCUUGCAAUUCGUCAAAGAAGAAAGAAAGCUCCACUCAUGAUCAGUAGCAGAUCCUGUGAUCAAAUUAUUGUUUACGAUUCCGAACCAUUCAAGGUGUCUUAAGCUGCCAAGCAUUUUAGGGAUUGGGCCAGAGAAUAAGUUUUCUGACAAGGAUAGAAUCUUAAGCAUGGAAGCAUUGGAGAUAGAGUUGGGAAUGUUUCCGCUAAGUUUAUUUCCCCACAGUAAAAGAAUCUGAAGCUUUGGAGCAUUGGUAAUGGGUGGUAAAUUACCUGUAAAAUAGCAUCUUUUAGAAAACAUAUUCAUUGAAUACCAAAUUCACAAAAUAUAUAAUACAUUAAAAUAAAAACUGUAAAACUUUAAAUCAAUUAAGAAUAAAAUUUUGGCAUGGAAAAAUGUGAUGAAAUCAAUUAGAAAGUUGAGACAUAAUAAGAAGUUUUGAGUAGUAAUUAGUCCUUGUGAUUUGUAUAGACAAAACAUAUAAUACACUGAUAAUUUUUUUAAAAUAUUGUAAAACCUGAAAUAAAAUAAAAAAUAAAAGUUUGGCACAAGAAUGUGGCAUCUAAUCAUUCUUAAAAAUAAGACUAACAUUAAAUAAUAAUUAGUUAUGAUUUGAGAAACAAAAAUGUUAAAGAUGUAAACUGGUAUGAUUUUUAUCUAUUGGGUUAAUUAUUUAUUUUUAUUAAAUUAUAUAUAGUGUAAAAUUUAAAGAUUAUUAUUUGCUCAAAAUUUUUGUAUUUUUCGUAUAUUUGAAAUUUAAUCUUUAUAUUUUUUUAUUUUCUGUGAUUUAGUCUCUCUACUUUUUAAAUUGAAAAUUUUAAGUUUAUUUAUUAACACUGUUAAAAAGUUUUUGUGUUAGUAUGGCAUUUUGAAAAAUAAAAUAAACUUGAUAUCUAUGUUUUUAAUUAUUCCAAAUACUGUUUUACUAUUCCAAGAUAAAUUAUUUGUGUCUAGACCAAUAUCUGAAGAACUAUUGUUGCAUGUUUAAUUAUUCUAAAGAAUUGUUGAUUGAGUCUUAGUUGAAGUGCACUAUUCUCCUAUUUAUGAAUUGGGGAGUUGAUAAAGUACUAAAUUUUGAUAUAUUUUAAAAAAUUAAAAAUUUAUUAAAAUAUUUUUAUAAAAAUUGAUUGUACCAAAAUAUACAAUUUUAAUAUCAAAUUUUUAAUUUUUUAAAAAUAUUAGCGAAUAUAUACUUUAUUUCAAGUUACACAAUUUUUACUAGUUUUUAACUUUUUUUUUAAAUUUUUAUCGUCUUUUAUAAUUUCAUAUAAUUUUUUAUAAUUUUUUACAAUAUUUACAAUUUCUAACAAUUUUUAAUAAUUUUAUUAUUUAUUAUAAAUUUAAAAAUUAACAAAUUUUUAUUUUUUUAAAACAAUUAUAUAUUUAUAAUGUAGUUAUUUUUUUAUAAUUUUUUUUGAAAUUUAAAGAUUUUUUUGGUUUUUUCUAGAUGAUGAUGCCAUCAUGAUGUCAUCAUAUGCCACAUGGCAAUUUAUAAUUAGUUGACUAUCUCAAUCUAUUUUUUUAACGUCCAAUGGACUAAAACAAGAACACCUGAUAAUGUUAGAGACUACACUAGGAAUGUUUGAUAAUAUUAGGUACUAAAGUGGGCAAAAAAAAUUAAGGACUAUAUUAAAAAUAUAUCUAUAAUAUAUAUAAAUGCAUGGAUUUUGAGAAACUUUUGAAAUGACAAAUAUAUAGUCUUUGUUUUUUUUUACUAUAUUAUUGAAUUUUUUAUUUUAAAUAUUUUUUUAUUACUUUUAAGAUUUAUCAUAUGUAUGGAUAAAAAUUUUGGUUUUACUAAAAUAUUUGGUUAAAUAAAUUCACUUUAUAAAAAAAUUUAGCAUCCUUAUAAAUAACAAUUUUGAUUCCAUUAAAAAAAUUAUUUAAUAAUAUAUAAUAAAAAUUUAAAAUUUAUAUUGAAUCACUUUAUACUUAAAUUAUUAUUAGAAACUUUAUCAUACACAUAUGUGUAUGAGAACCACGUUUUCAGAACUUAAAUUUGUGUUCUAAAAUAACUUAUGAUAAAUAAUUAAAUGUAUAAUUUGAAAUUAUAUUGAAAUAAAAAUAGAUUAAAUUGUAAGUAAAACAUAUAUAAUUUAAACAUAUGAAUACAUCAAAUUAAAAAUACUAAAUGAAUACAUUUAUUUAUGAUGAUGUUGUUGUCAAUUCAUAAGUUGGUGUCGAGUUAAUUUGUGACAUCAUAAUUUUAAGUGAUAAAUUUAAGGUUUUAUGUAUUGAUGUCGAUUCAAAUAUCACCAUAAUUUUUUUAAAUAAAAAACUAAAGCACCCUCAAAUAAUAUAACUUAUAUUAAAUAUGAAAGGGUAUUUUUGUAAUUUCUCUAACGAGUUGGUGCCCGGUUGACUCAUGACACCAACUCAAUCAAAAGCUUCAAUAAUAAUAUAGAUAUUCACGUUUAAAAAAAGUACUUUAGUUCGAAAUAAUUAUAUAACAAGUAAUUUUAUAAUUGAUGAAUAAUUUUAUAAAAAUAUAUUUAUAUAAUCUAAUAUAUUAUAUUUAUAUUAAUUAUAUAUCAUCUACAAACUUUGAAGAUCAAUUUAUUAAGUAUCAGGAAAAGAAAAAAUGAAAUUGAAUUAACACUAAAUCAAUUUUUAGAUUUUGUACAGAUGAUUUAAUGAUGAUAAAAACAUUAUUAGCACUAUUUUUGAAUUAACAAAAAAUUAGUGAUAUAUUUUAAUUAUAUUUUUUAUUUUUUAUUUUUAAUAAUAUUUUUUUAAUUAUAUGAAGUAAAAUUAUAUUGUAUACUAAAUAUGGUACAUAUACUUUAAUUAAAACUUGAAAAAUUAUUAUAUAAAUUAAUAUAUUUUAAUUAUAUUCAACCAUUUGAAUAACAAAAUUAAAAAAAACUAAUUAGAAUUAUUUACUUUUUAAAGUUUAAUGGAAAAUAAAAAAUUAAAAAUAAAUCAAUUCAUAUAAAUCUUAUUGUUUAUUAUCAGAUUAAAAUGAUAAAAGUAUAUGACAUACAUAGAAGAAACAAAUUCAACACAAUGUUUUUGGAGUUUGGAAAAAAUUAAAGUGAAAAACAUACCUUCUAAUUUGUUGUUAAAUAGAUCUAUUUCUUCGAGCGUAGUUGAAUUAAAAAUACUUGAUGGAAUCUGACCUGCACACAUAGUCGAAAAUUGAAGUGAAAUCAAACUCUUUUGUGAAAAAAAUAUUACCAGAUAAUUCAUUCCAACCCAGGUAAAGCCCUUCAAGCUUGGGAAGAUGUUGACACAUAUCAUUAAGCAAACUACCUGAUAGGCUAUUGUUGGAGAGAUCAAUGGUCUUCAGAGAAGAAAUGUUGAAGAUCGAAGUUGGAAUCUGACCUGUAAGGCCUUUAAUUGCUUUAAUACUAAGCAUCUCCAAACCAAGAAGAUUACCGAUUUCCUCGGGAAUUUGACCUGCACACAUAGUCAAAAAAUCAAGGUGUCAAACUAUCUAUUUUGUUAGCAUAAGUCAAAGAGGUUUUCUUUUCUGUUCUACAGUAAUUUGAAGAUGUUAGAUUUUAAUAUAUUUCAGCAUAUGUUUUUCAUCAAAUGAAAUAAAAAGUUUUUCCUUUUUAUUAUCUAUUACAAGUCAAACUCUUUUAUAAAAAAAAAUACUUUAAAUUCAAGAAAUCAAGGAAAUUGAUUACCUUCUAGAUUAUUAAACCGCAAAUAUAAUUCCAGGAGUCGUGUUAGAUUUCCAAUACUUCUUGGAAUGAUCCCCGUCAAUUGAUUCAAGGACAAGGACAAAUUUUUAAGGUUGCUGCAUUUUCCCAUACUUGACGGAAUGUUACCAGAUAACUCGUUGCUAUGCAAGUAAAGCACUUCAAGCUUGGGAAGAUGUUGACACAUAUCAUUAGGCAAACUACCUGAUAGGCUAUUGUUGGAGAGAACAAUGGUCUUCAGAGCAGAAAUGUUGAAGAUCGAAGUUGGAAUCUGACCUGUAAGGCCUUUAAUUGCUUGAAUAUUAAGCAUUUCCAAACCAAGAAGAUUACCGAUUUCCUCAGGAAUUUGACCUGCACACAUGGUCGAAAAAUCAAGGUGUCAAACUACCUAUUUUGUUAGCAUAAGUCAAAGAGGUUUUCUUUUCUGUUCUACAGUAAUUUGAAGAUGUUAGAUUUUAAUAUAUUUCAGCAUAUGUUUUUCAUCAAAUGAAAUAAAAAGUUUUUCCUUUUUAUUAUCUAUUACAAGUCAAACUCUUUUAUAAAAAAAAUACUUUAAAUUCAAGAAAUCAAGGAAAUUGAUUACCUUCUAGAUUAUUAAACCCCAAAUAUAAUUCCAGGAGUCGUGUUAGAUUUCCAAUACUUCUUGGAAUGAUCCCCGUCAAUUGAUUCAAGGACAAGGACAAAUUUUUAAGGUUGCUGCAUUUUCCCAUACUUGACGGAAUGUUACUAGAUAACUCGUUGCUAUGCAAGUAAAGCACUUCAAGCUUGGGAAGAUGUUGACACAUAUCAUUAGGCAAACUAUCUGAUAGGCUAUUGUUGGAGAGAACAAUGGUCUUCAGAGCAGAAAUGUUGAAGAUCGAAGUUGGAAUCUGACCUGUAAGGCCUUUAAUUGCUUGAAUAUUAAGCAUUUCCAAACCAAGAAGAUUACCGAUUUCCUCAGGAAUUUGACCUGCACACAUGGUCGAAAAAUCAAGGUGUCAAACUACCUAUUUUGUUAGCAUAAGUCAAAGAGGUUUUCUUUUCUGUUCUACAGUAAUUUGAAGAUGUUAGAUUUUAAUAUAUUUCAGCAUAUGUUUUUCAUCAAAUGAAAUAAAAAGUUUUUCCUUUUUAUUAUCUAUUACAAGUCAAACUCUUUUAUAAAAAAAAUACUUUAAAUUCAAGAAAUCAAGGAAAUUGAUUACCUUCUAGAUUAUUAAACCCCAAAUAUAAUUCCAGGAGUCGUGUUAGAUUUCCAAUACUUCUUGGAAUGAUCCCCAUAAAUUGAUUAUAGGAGAAGGACAAUUUUUUUAAGUUGCUGCAUUUGCCCAUACUUGACGGAAUGUUACUAGAUAAAUCAUUCCGACUCAGGUGAAGCCCUUCAAGCUUGGGAAGAUAUUGACACAUAUCAUUAGGCAAACUACCUGAUAGGCUAUUGCUGGAGAUAUCAAUAAUCUUCAGAGAAGAAAUCUUUAAGAUGGAAGAUGGAACCUGACCAGAUAAUUGAUUGAAUCCCAAGUUUAAGAUCACUAGAUUAGACAUGUUAACAAGUGUUUCAGGGAUUGUGCCUGUAAAGUUAUUAUUUUUCAUUUUUAGCCUUCGAACUCUCUGUAAGUUCCCAAGCCAUGAUGGAAUUUCCCCAUUCAGACGGUUGUAGCUUAAUUGAAGGAUCCUCAAACGAUGCAAUUGGCCCAAUUCUUUAGGGAGAUGGCCAUAGAAAUGGUUGCUACUCAAGUCGAGAGAGAGUAGAAAUGAAAGAUUUCCAAGGUGUGGAGGGAUAGUACCCCUAAGAUUCAUGCUUGUAAGAUUCAAAGCUAUAACUCUUUUAUGGAGGAUGCCACAAGAAACACCAGUCCAAUUGCAAACAGAGGUUGAGGCCAUCCAAUUGUCUGCCAAGACAUUUUGAGGAUCGGCAAUGCGAUCCUUAAACUCGAGAAGUGCAAAUUGAUCGGAGUUGAGAUUCUUGGCUGUCAUAGCCAAGCAAAGUACGGAACAUGAUAUGAAUAAAGCUAAGAGAAGAUGAAAGCAAGUUUUGUAGUUCAUGAUUGCAAGACGGAAUAAGGCAAGAAAAUAAAAAAAGUAGGAAAAGGGAAGUUGAGUUGAUAAAAUAGUUUGGAUGAUGAAGAAAAGCCCAGAGAGCAUACUUUAAUAUGUUUCAACCCUCGCACACUUGAUAAACUUGAUAAAUAUAUUUUGAUCUAAUAAAUGUAAAAAACUUUUUAAACAAAAUAAGGUUGAAAUAAUCUAUUUGUCCUUAUACUUUGAUAAAAUUUGAGAUUUAGUCCUUAUACUUAAAAGGAUAAAAGUGUUGUAGUUCUUGUUGUUUUUAUUUAAAAAUCUUAGUCCUAUCGUUAAUUUUUUGGGUCAAAAUUUGUCAACUGUACAUAUUAAUUAGGUUUCCCUUAUAUGUUGUUGUAUAUGACUAACACAAAAUAAGCAAGUUGACAAAUUAUGACAAAAAUAAUCAAAGAUGAUAAUAAUUUAAUUAAAAUUUUCAAAUUGAAUUAAUAACCUUUAACAUAUAAGGAAUGGAUAUCAAAUAUUUAUAGGAAAAAAGGGACUAACAACAUAUUUUAACCACAAAAUAAUAUGAGUGAUUAGAAUGAAUCUAAAAGAGACUAACAACAUAUUGAUAACUUUGAAAUCUCCUUCGAUCAUCCUUUUUCUACGUAGAAAAUGAAAAUUAAUUAGCAUCUAAAGUGUCAAUUAAUGAAACCUUCAAAAGAAAAUGUGAAAGUGAUUUAUCAAAAAAUAAUAUUUUAACUUAUAAAAUAUUUAAUUACAUUUAGUAAUUUAUCAAUCAAAAUUUAAUUAACAUCCAUCAAUACUUCAUACAUAAGUAAAUUUACCAUUUAACUCAGAUUUAACUUUGCAAGUAAACUUAAAAUUUUAUUUAAUUUUGUCACUAAAUUUAAUUUGUUCAAUAUAGAUUUUGGUGACUUAAAACAAAAUUAAUAAAAAAUUAUAUUCUUUCAGACAUCUUUUUAAUGUUUAAUAAUAAAAUAAUUUAUAAAAUAUACUUUCAUUGGACACAAGCAAGGCGAUGAACCACUGACCAAAUUAAUUUGGAUAUAUCUUUUUUCCAAAUAAAGUGAAUUUACGAGUUUUGUUUUUUUUUUAAUAUUUUUGUGGAUAUCAAGUGAUACCAAAAAUUAUUUCACUAAGAAAUUUUAAUUCACUUGAAAAGUUAGUGUUUUAUUUCAAGGGGUCAUAAUUAUAAAUUUUAAAUUUUUUGACAAUUGUGUAAUUAAUAAAUACCAAUUUUGACUGUUGUAGGGCUAGUACAAUCUCCCUUACGCAUAACCGACUCUUGAACCUACUAUUUUCUCUAGAAUUUAACGCAGACCUUAAAUUUAUCUUUUAAAAAGAAUUUUAAAAUCUCUAUAUAAAAGGUGUAAAAAUAUAUAUUUUAUUAAUUACUAUAUAUUAUUUUAUUUUCAGAAUAAUAAAUAGUUUAAAAUAUGCUGCUAGUCCCUAUAGUUUAAAAGUUAAAAAGUUUUUGGCAUCUUGAGUGCAUCAAAUUUCUCCUUUUAUUAUUAAAUGUUUUAUUUUAGUUACUCUAAUUAAAUAUAUCCAAAUUGUAAUAGAGUUAAUAUUUAUUAUAUAAAAAAAUAUUUUAAUUUUUUUUCAAUUGUAGUUUAAUUCUAGUAGAAAUAUUUCAUUUAUAAAAUCAUAAAACUUUAAAAUAUUAACUUUGUUAAAUAAAAAAUGAUUUUUUUAAACUGUAAAUUUUGACUUUAUUAACCCAAAUGGGUCUUUAGGGUUAAACUUCAGUAAUUGACGAGCUCUUCCACAAACUGUGGAUGAUUUGGGGAUAAAAACUUCAAUAAUUCUAGAGUUAAAGUGUAAAUUUACUACUAUAUUAUAAGUAAAUAUUGAAAUUUAUCACUAAAUUUUAAUUGAUACUUGUCAUUACACUUUGAAAAUAUAAGUAAAUUUAUCAUUUAACUCAUAUGUGAUUGAAGUUUGCAAGUAAACUUAAAAUUUUAUUUAAUUUUGUCACUAAAUUUGAUUUAUUUAAUUAUAUUUACAACUCAAUAUAGAUUUGGUGACUUAAAACAAAAUUAAUAAAAAAACUAUUCUUUCAGAUAACUUUUAAUGUUAACUAAUAAGUUGAUUUAUAAAAUAUACUUUCAUUGGACACAAGCAUCCAAGGCGGUGAACAAACCACUGGUCAAAUUAAUUUGGAGAUAUCCUUUUUGCGUUUUUCUUUUUUUUUAAAAAUAUUUUUAAUAUUUUUGUGGAUAUCUCCAAAUACCAAAAAUUAUUUCACUAAGGAAUUAAUUAGUAUUUUAAGGGUUCACAAUUAAACUUUAGACUUUUUAUUUUUAAAUUUGGAAUUUUUUGACAAUUGCAUAAUUAACAAGUACUAAUUUAGAGUGUUGCAGGAUUAUUACAACCUUCCCUACACGUAACAGACUCUUGAACCUACUUUUUUCUCUAGAACUCAAUGCAAACCUCAAAUUUAUCUUUUUAAAAGAAUUUUAAAAUAUCUAUAUAAAAGGUGAUUUUUUUACCGAUCACACUUAACAAAAUUUUAAAAAUUAUUAAUUUCUUUUUGAAAUUUAAAGUGAUCUAAAACUAUAUUUUUAAGUGCUUUAGACCAUGCGGUGCUGAUUUCUUUAUUGUAUUAAAUGCUUGCAAUCACUCCUUGUAUCUUAUACUUGAGUUGUAACAAAACCAAUUGUCACGUGUCAUAAUGUUCUACUGAUGCUGAAACUGAAGUUUUUGUUAUAUUAAUAGAGCUUGUCCUUCAACGCGUAUAACAAGUGUUUGUUAUUUUUUCCUUCAAAUUGUAUGAUCUCAUUCAUUAAAUAAAUUAAUGAAUUUCCCUUUAAAAAAUAUAAUUUUAAAAAUUAAAUACUUUAUAAGAUAUUUAAAACUAUUUAAAAAAUUGUAAGCGUUAAAACAAUCAACAAGAUAUAUUUUUCUUUAAAAAAUCAAUAAAAAUAUGUUUAAAAUUUUAUAUGAAAUUAAAAAUUUUUUAACAAUAAUAUAUUUUAAAAUUAUUUACACCUUUUUUUAUAUAUUUUUCCUAACAUAUCGUUAUUUUCAACACUAUCGUAAUCCUAUUUUGAUAAUUCCCUUUCCAUACAUCCUUUUUCUACAUAGAAUUUCAAAAGAAAAUGUGAAUUAAUGCAGACUUGAGAAGACCUAGAGGUAAGUCACCCAAUGAAACUGACCUAAACCGACUUAUGGACCAAUCAAACAAUAAUUUUGUAUCUCAUAAUAUAUUUAAUUACAUUAAUUAGCUUAUCAAUCAAAACUUAAUUAAAAUCCAUCAAUAAAGUUGCUGAUUGUAUGGCUAAGGCAUAUGGAGGCAUAAUUGAGCAGCUGGUUAUCUUGGAAGAUCCUUCGCGUUAUGUAAGAUAUUGGCUUGAAGGAGAUAUUAGACAGUCGUUGGUCACUGAUGAUAAAUUUCAUUUGGAUUGAAGCAGGCUUAAUUUUCUAAGUUUAUGUUCAACCAGAAAAAAAAUCUAAAUUGUAAUAGAAUUAACAUUUAGUGUAUAAAAAAUAUCUUAAAAAUUAUUUUUUCAAUUGCAAUUCAAUUCCACAAAUACUGACGAUGAACCCUGAAACGGACAUGAAAAUUACAAAAAGAAAAAAAGCACAUCUAUUAUCAAACCAGCAAUCCAUGCCUAAACUGAGAGAGAUGAACCCUAUGAUAGAUUGUGACACCCCAAAGUCGACCGGGAUAGAUCGGCCCGAAUUCGAAGCAUUACAUUAGCCACCUAAAUGACUCUCUAGCUAACGACCACCCAAGACACACCCCGACCUUAUAACACCUCAAUCUUAUCUAAUUAUUAGUUAUUUAUUAAUACCAAAGUAAAUUAUGAGCCAAUUUUAAACUUUUCCUAGGUAAUUUAACCUACGGGCAUUUACGUUAUUUUACCACCUAUGGUAAAACUAACCCGAUUUUAGAUCUAAGUGUUUACUGGCCUUCUUUUAGUCAAAUUAUGCAAGGUUAAAAUUUUUAGGUGAUUUUGAGUUCAUUUACUAUGUCUAAUUCAAGUUUUAUUAUUUAGGACUAAAUUGUAACUUAAACAAAUUUGAAUACCAAUUUAAAGAGACAAAAAUUUAAAACCCCCAAAACCACACGAGCAUGUAGGUAAAUGACACGGGAGUGUGGAAACUGGAGCAAUCACACACAGGCGUGUGGGAUUGAAAAAUAUGAAAUAAAUUAAUUAUGGUGUUAAAUUCUUCCAUCAAUUGUACAUAAUUUUGAUUGGUAUAGUAAUAAAUUUAGCCUUCAAUGUUUAAAUAUUUUGUCAUUUUGGCCUUAAUUUUAAAAAAAAAUUCAAGAAAUUCAACCUCAACAUUCACAUAUUUACACAAACGUUGCGGGAAAUUUUUGUUAAAUUAAGACCAAAUUGCAAGUAUAAAUUUUGAGGGCUAAAUUUAUUAUUAUACCAACAAAAACCAUGUACAUUUUAUGGAAAAUUAACAUCCUGAUUAAUUAUUCUUAGUAGCUCACUUUCAAAAUUAAUAGGGACUAAAUUGCUCUGAUUUUUUAAGGGUGACCAAUUUCUUCAAUUUGGAAAUUGAGAGAGACUAUUCAGAUAUUUUACAUAUUUUUUAUAAAUAUAUUUUUUUAAUAUAAAAUAUAGUUGUUCACACACAUCGUGAGUAUGAUAAAAUAUUUUUAUUGUUGAUUGAAUUGGUGUCAAAAAUUAACUCGAGACCAACUCAAGAUUAAGAAUAACAAUAUGAUAAAUAAUUUAUUUAUUUAAUAUUCUGAAUUUAAAAUAUUGAUGUAAAUUUUAAGACAUGCAUGUCUUGUAGAAUUGAGAUUAUACUUUUUGAGUAUUGAGUCAGUUUUCCACAAUUGUGGGUCUCUAUUUGAGCAACACAAUUUCAACAUUUCUUCAUCUCGCUUAAUCCAAAUGCAUUUAGGAUUUUUUUUUUUAUAUCAUUGUUUCAAAAACGAUAAAAAAAAAAGUGGACAUUGAAUUUUCUGUUUCACAUUCAAUUUUUGGAGAAGUAGAAUUUUCUAACUUAUUUUCCAUCAACUUCACUUCAAUUUUCAAUCACAAUCUAUUGCAUUCAAGAGCACCACAUCAUUUUGGAUGAAACAAACCUCUCAAUUUUAAGAUAAACGGAAUCUAUUGCAUUCAAGAGCACCACAUCUUUUUGGAUGAAACAAAGCUCUCAAUUUUAAGAUAAACGGGUCUUUAGGGUUAUUAAUUAAGGGCAUUUUCCACAAUUGGCAUCGUUAUUUGCGGGUGAUUCGGGGAUAAUAACAUCAACAUUUCUGUAUCACAUUUAAUUCAAUUCCACAUUUAAGUUUUAAUUUUUAGAGAGAUGAUUGGGUUACAACAAUGGUUUGAAGUGAAGAUAUUUCAAAAGAAGGCAAAUAUAUCAAUUUUUUAAGGGGUCUUUGGAGUUAUAUGUGACUUUAGCAUUAUUGACCGACUUUUUUAUAGUUAAUCUUUUAUAAUAAGUUAAUUAUAUCAAUUUUAAUAACAUCGACAUGUUUUUUAGUAGGGUCGAUCAAAACCCAAUUAAAACCUUUCAUCACUGCAAAAAUGAAAAUAAUAGAAAUGAAAGACUAGCCAUUGUAUGAGAUUUAUAAUUGUAACUGUCAACGAAAUUGGGAGAAAUUUUUAAAUUUUAUGAAAUUUUAAAAUUAAACUGUCAAUAAUAGAAAAUUGCCUGAGUGACUUGGGAUAAGAGCUUGAACAUUUCUGGAUCACAUUACAUUUAAGAUGGGUCUUUAAGGUUAUACUUUAGUUUUUGAGAACAUUUUCCACAAUUUGCCAUCGUUAUUUGUGGGGUAAGUGGUUGAACACUUCUGGAUCACAUUGCAUUUAGGACGGGUAUCAUUCAUAGACUGACUUUUCUAUAAUUAGUCCUUGCUUUACUUUAGGUGGAUUCUUCCAACUAGUCCAAGAAUUAUUGUACAGUUACAUUUAAUCUUUUUAAAUGAGACAAACAUUUCAAAUUUGUCGUUACUAUUUGUGAGUAAUUUGGGGGUAAGAAGUUUAACACUUCUGGAUGUCUUAUAGAAUUGUGAUUAUACUUUUUGAGUAUUGACUCAGUUGUCCACAAUUGUGGGUCUCUAUUUGAGCAAAACAAUUUCAACAUUUCUCCAUCUCGUUUAAUCCAAAUGCAUUUAUGCAUUUCUUAUAUCAUUGAAUUUGCUGUUUCACAUUCAAAAAUUGGACAAGUAGAAUUUUCUAACCUAUUUUCCGUUAACUUCACUUGAAUUUUCAAUCACAAUCAAUUGCAUUCAAGAGCACCACAUCUUUUUGGAUAAAACAAAACUUUCAAUUUUAAGGUAAACGGGUCUUUAGGGUUAUACGGGGGCCUUUUCCACAAUUGCCAUCAUUAUUUGCGGGUGAUUUUGGGAUAAUAACUCGAAUAUUUCUGGAUCACAUUUAAUUCAAUUUUUAAAUUUUAGAGAGAUGUUUGGGUUACAACAAUUUUCAUCAUUAAGUUUAAUAGAACAUUUGGGAGGAAAAAGAGCAAAAAAAUGAGCGAAAACCGAAAAAUGGGGGCAAAGUAUAGGACCCACACUAGCUGACCUAUUCCACUUGACUGUGCAUCAAUUUCGUAGAUUUGCACUUUGACCUACAAAAAAAUACGAAUUUUAGGCUUUUCGGGCAUUCUAAGAUGUACAUAUGACAAAAAUAAAAAGAUAUAAGAGAACCUUUUAGAAUAUUCAAGAAAACAACUCCAAAGACACCACUAAAGCCGACUCUGAAGCAAAUUUUCAUUAAGAUGGAAGAUUCCUAAUUGACCACUAAAGCCGACUCUAAAGCAGACUUUCAUUAAAAUGGAAGAUUCCUAAUUGAUUUCUUAGGAGAUUAUCAUGAGUUUCUUUAUUCCUUUCAAUUAUACUACCCUUUGGAUGUUUUUAUUUUUAAUCAUGAACUAAUUUUCUAAAUACCUAAGAGAGAUAAACCCUAUGAUAGAUUGUGACACCCCAAAGCUGACCUGGACAACCGACCCAAAUUCGAAACAUUACAUUAGCCAUCUAAGUGACUUUCUAGCUAACGACCAGCCAAGACACACCCUAACCUUAUUGUACAAGCCCAAUUUUGACCAAGACCAAACCAAAUAAAUUAACAGUCCAUAAGAGUCCAAAUUACAACUAGCCUGAUAUGGCCCAAAUAAAAAACAACAACCCAAGCCCAAACCCAACCCUCGUAGCCCAAAGCCCACAAACUAAAAAAUUUCAGCAGAAAAAAGAAAGUUGCUAACCCUACGCGCCAUGCCUGGGUCCUCUGCCACUGACCGCAUGCCUCUGCCACCGUAUCUCACAGCCUCUGCCACGCCUCUGCUGCCUACAAGAAACCAACAAAGCACAAAAUGACAACAGCAAUAGAGGUCAAAUCGAAAAACAACAAAAAAUAGAUUACGAAUCAUUUAGAUUGGCUAUAAAGGCCGAAAUAUUAACCUUGUAAUGCUUCUUCUUUUUUUUUGACGAACAUUAGAAAAAUAAAAAACAGAAAACAAGUUUAGAAGGUAGAUUUUUUUCAUUUUCAAAUUUGCAUUUCUUUUCCCUGUGUAUUUUCUUUUCUUCUAUUUUUUUUUACAUGCAACUAGUAAGAACAAAGAAAGAGAAAGAAAAACCUCGCCUGGAAUAGCCCCUCAAGUCCGGUCGUCGAAGGCCCUUUUCCUGUUGUCAAAAUCGAACCUAAAAAGGGGGCUAGGGUGCCCUCUCCUGGUCUUUUAGGGCAACAUCGGCCACCAGUCAGGUGGCACUACGGCGGCGCUCACGGCCAAAACCGUAGGCCGAGCGGGGUGGGGGUUUGAGAGAGGGAGCUCUCUGAAAUUUUUUUAAACAAAUGGGAUGAAACUGAUUUUCUUUGGGUUUUUUUUUAUUUCAUACUAAGUAUGAAACGGCGACGUUUUGGGCUUAAGCAGCCAUGGCCAAAACGACGCCAUUUUACGUCGUUUCCCCUAUACCCACGCGCGCGACCCGACCCACCAGGGGAUCCGCAUGUUUUUGCUCUGAGGGGAUAUUUGCGCAAUCUGCCCCUACGCCUUUUUGACGUAUUCAAUUCGGUUUUUUAUUAUUUUUUAUUUUAGCCAUGUAUUUUUGCUUCCGAUUCAAGUUGGUCCUUAGACCAUGUGUUGUUCCACAGUUAAAACGCCGCACUUUAGGAUUGGGGAAUAUUUCCCUGAAAGUCCCUCGCGCUUUGAGUGCGUUUCAUUUCGGUCCCGAGCCACCCCUUUUAUUUAUUUGCAAUUUAGACCGCGAGUUCUAAUCCGAUUUCAAUUUAAUCCUUAUUCCAUGUAAUUAUUUUAUUUUCUUUUUCUUUAAAAAUUAAUUUUUUUAUUUAUAAAAAGGACCUCUUUUAUUAUUAUUAUUUAUUUUAAGUUUUACAUAUAUUAUUUAUUUUAAAUGUUUUGCCUAAUAUUUACUUAAUUUUUUUAUUAUAUUAUUUUUUUAAACUACUAUAUAUAUUGCCUCUUAGAAUUUAUAUAUAUAUAUAUUAUUUUAAUAAAAAAUAAAGAAUACUGUUUUUAAUUAUUUUAAACUAUCUUAGUAUUUUUUUUUUCAUUUUAAAGUUUUAUAUUGUUUGUUUGAGACAUUUUGCCAUACAUUUCGAGUUCAUCUCAUAAGUUAUUUGUCUUAUACUAUUACCUACAUAAAAUUGUUCUUUAUUAUUUCAUUUCGUUUGCUUGGACUAUUAAUAUUGAUAUGUUAAAAUGUUGCACGUGGUGUGAUUAUUAUCAUUAUGUACGUUGUAAUUAGUUUAUUUUUUUCGCAUUAUUGCCAUUAUGUGUAUUAUUCCGUUUACUCGUAUUUCCAUGCUAUGGUAAUUCAUUCGUAUAUCAUGUUGUUCGAAAAUUAUUUCACCAUAUUAUAAAUUGUCACCCCAUCAACGCAACCCUUUUGUUCACGCAUUAUUUCAAACAUUACAUUUUUUACCCAAACAUGCAAAAAUGAAAUUUUCAAAUAAGGCAAUAUUUUGUGUAUUGGCGAUUCGAGAAAAUUGUAUCCUAACUUACGGGGUUUCAGUCUUUCUCAUUAAAACUAAUAGCAAAAUACCAUUUUUAAAAUAUCAAAAAAAUGAUGAAAGGAACCUAAAUAAGGCAAUAUUUUGCGUUUGGAAAUUCGAGAAAAUGUACCCUAACGUGCUAGGUUUCGAUUCUUUCGUUUAACCAAAUAGCCAAAUAUUCUCUUAAAAUUUCAAAGUAUGGGUUUUGGAACUGUCGAAACCACUUUUUUUGAAAAACAAAAAAAUUAGUUGUCGACUUUAACAACGAGAAUUGGAGUCAGAGUCGCCACUGAUCUUUUAAUGAGGUGUGAUCGGAUCACCUUGAAAACAAUUUUAGGUCUGCGAAUUUUGAGAAAAUUGAUUCGGGAGUCGGUUACACACGAGGAAGGGUUAGCACCCAUGUAACGCCCAAAAUUGGUACCGAAUUGAUUGUUUAAUGUCUUAGUGUCGAGAAUUUGAAAAGAUUUUAAAAUACAAUCCUUUGAAAAGAAAAUUUGAAUAAGAUGAAUUGGAUGAUGAGACUCACUUAUUUCAAAGAAAUAAAUUGUCACACUCAGUAAGUUAGAAUGCAACAUUUUAAAUCCUCAAAAUUAAGUUUAUCUUUUGACUUUUAAAACCUAUGCAUUUUGAGAAGGAUAUCCGAUUAUUUGGGUCAAAUGAAAAAAUCAAAACCCAAUAAGUUAGGGUUCGAUUUCACAAAAUUCCUAAAUAUCGAAUAUUGCCUUAAUUUUCAUAUAUUAGAAAAAUCCUCGCCUUGAGAAAACAACAUGUCAUAUCCAAUGCGUUAGGACACAACGCAUCGAAUUCCCGAGAAUGAGCUUUUUGUUUAUGUGUUUUAAUUAAAGAAUAAUCUCGAUUAUUUAGAUUCGAUGAGGAAAAUUGGAACCCAAUACGUUAGGGCUCAAUUCUUUCAAAAAUCUCAAAUUCCGAGUGUCGCGUUAUUUUAACAAAACUUUUUGAAUAAAAAUGCUCUCAAUAUUUGAAUGAUAUUAAACGUAAUAUUUUGACAAAUAAAAACCAUGAAAUAAUAACGUACAACGCGAAAUGGUGAUUCAUAAAUUAAUGUACGCUAAUGAACGACAAAGAAUCGAUAGAUACGAGCAAGCAAUACAAUACACGUAAGAGCAAUUAUCUCACAUCAUAUACAAAUAAUAACUUUAAUAUUCAAAAGCUAAUGAACUAAAAACUAAUCUUAAACGAAGCUCCAAGCGAAUUAAUACAAAAAUAUGCAACAAGAUUUGAAGAAUAAAAUAACAUGAAGGAAGGGAAAAUAUAUUUAAAAUAAAUCAUAUAUAUAUAUAUAGAAAUUUGAAGUAAAUUAAAAAUAAGGUUAAAAAUAAAUACUACAUAAAAUAAUAGUAUCCAAAUAAAUUUUAAAACAAAUAUCAUAUAAGAAGAAAAUCAAAUACAUAAAAUAAUAUACAUAUAUUAAUUUAAGAUAAGUAAUAUAUAGGGAGUGAAAAGCUUCAUGUAAGUAAUAAUAUAUGCUAAUAUGCAAAAAGUGAAAUAAACUAAAUAUAUGCGGAUAUUUAAAAGAAGUAAAGUAUCUAUAUAUAGCAAUAGGUAUAAAAAAUAUAUAUAGUUUAAAAUUAAAUAAUAUAUACAUUACGUACAUACAUAUAUGUAUAAUAAAAAUAGUUUAAAAAUAGUAACAAAUAAUAAUGAUAAGUAAUAUAUAUAAAUAGGUAAAUAGAAAUGUAAUCAAAUAUAAUAAUGAUAACAAUAAUAAAUAGUAAUAAAAAUAAUAAUAGUAAAUUAAUUAAUAGCAAAAAAUAUCAAUUAGGACUAAAUUGGAAUGAAAAUAGAAAUUUUGGGGCCAAUCCGCAAUAAAUAAAAACAAAAAGGGGCCGAAUUGGGUGCGCGAGGAACAAUGAGGGAGUAAAGCGGAAACUCCAAAACGCUGCAUUGCGGCAUGGACUAAAAUAAAACGAAAAUCAAAUUAAAGGGCGAAAAUUAAAAAGAAAAGAAUCGAUUCGAACAUGCCACAAAAGAGAGAGGACCAUUUGCGCAAAUCUCCCAACAGAGGCCAAAACGCGCGGAUCCUUCCCCGGGUCGGGUCACCGCACGGGUCAUGAGCUACCAAACGGUGUCAUUUUUGACGUAUGGAUAACGUAAAACGGUGUCGUAUUACACUAUUAUUUAAACAAGGUUUUAAAUAAAAAAACAAAAAAAGACAAAUGCUGCCUACGUUUUAAAAAAAAACUGCUUGUUCUUUGCUAGGGUUUUGCCCUAGCUUCUGCGCCGCUCGAACGUACUGCCGUUCAGAAACUUACAAUCCUCGUCCAAACUCCAAUCGCAAUGAAGCGAACAAGGGUGCGACGGCCACCCUAAAGGUAAAUCUUCACUUCUCUUUUCUCUUUUAUUAUUUUCGCAUAAAAACGAAGCGAAUAAGUAAAAUAAAAUAAAAUAAAUAUGAGAAUCACCUUAAAAAACAAUGAUAUUCGAUUUCUUUUUUCUCUUUUUUGUAUUUAGUAUUCGUAACCGUUUACAGAUUUGGUUGGCUCUUUUUAUAGAUGAAAUUAGUGAGAAAGAGAAAAAAAAUCGAAGAAUAUUUUUUUUACAUUUUUCCUUAUUUACUGCUAUCUUCUCUUAUUUGCUAUCGAUUUCUGCUCUUUUUGUUUGCUUGUCCUUCUUGCAGUUAUGGCAUACGGAGGGUGGACGUGGUGGCCACAAAGGCGCGCGUGAGGCGUGGCUCGACUGCUCGGCUGAAGUUGUAUCAGAAACCGCUAGGGUUUUCUGAUUCCUUCUUUGUUUUGGGCUCAUUGGACUAAAAGUUUUUAGGCUAGUGGGCUAGGUUAAAUUUAGGUUUUGGGUUAUACUUCAUUUAUUGAGGGCCUUUUUAACAAUUGCCAUCAUUAUUCGCGGGUGAUUUGGGGAUAAUAACUUGAACAUUUCAGGAUCACAUUCAAUUCAAUUUUUAAAUUUUAGAGAGAUGUUUGGGUUACAACAAUUGCCAUCAUUAUGUUUAAUAGAACACUUGGGAGGAAAAGGAACAAAAAAAUGAGCGAAAACCGAAAAAUGGGGGCAAACUAUAGGACCCACACGGGCUGACCUAUUCCACUUGACUUUGUGACCCUCACGGUCGCGUGGCAAACCACGUCAAUUUCAUAGAUUUGCACUUUGAACUGCGAAAAAAUACGAAUUUUAGGCUUUUCGAGCAUUCUAAGAUGCAUAUAUGACACAAAUAAGGAGAUAGGAGAGAACCUUCCUAGAAUAUUCAAGAAAACAACUCCAAAGACACCACUAAAGCCGACUCUGAAGCAAAUUUUCAUUAAGAUGGAAGAUUUCUAAUUGAUUUCUUAGGAGAUUAUCAUGAGUUUCUUUAUUCAUUUCAGUUAUACUGCCCUUUGAAUGUUUUUAUUUUUAAUCAUGAACUAAAUUUCUAAAUACCUAAGAGAGAUGAACCCUAUGAUAGAUUGUAACACCCCAAAGCCGACUGGCACAGACCGGCCCAAAUUCGAAACAUUACAUUAGCCACCUAAGUAACUUUCUAGCUAACGACCACCCAAGACACACCCUAACCUUGUAACACCUCAAUCUUAUCUAAUUAUUAGUUAUUUAUUAAUGGCAAAGUAAAUUAUAAGCCAAUUUUGAACUUUUUCUAGGUAAUUUAACCUAAGAGCAUUUAAGUCAUUUUACCACCUAUGGUAAAACUAACCCUGUAAUAGCCAAUUUUGGAUGGCCCGAUAAUAAAAAGUCCAAAAAUCAAAGUCCACAUAGUUGAAUUACAUAAAUUGACCCAAUACACAAACCAAAACUAAACAUCUAGCCCGAAUAGCCCAAUAACCAAAAAAAUAAUAAGCCCAAAACCCCAGGCCCAAUAAACUCUGACCUGAUUUGAAGAACACUCCAGAAACCCUAAGGGUUCCUGGAACCUUUCAGCCACCACAGCAACCAGGGCCCUUCCUCGCAUGUGUAGCGCCUCCGCGCACGUGCGCCUCCUCUAGCUGGCUCCUGCAACAGAACACACGAGCAGCAACAACAAGUAAAGCAAGGGAAAAAUAGAAUAACAGCAAAAAAGAAUAAAAUAAUAGAAAAAAAGAUGUAAAAUAAUUUCUGUAAUUUUUAUUAUUCGGCUAUAUAAAGUCAUUGGUGAUACUGUAAAAAAGGAUUACGGAUUCAAAAGAAAAGAAAAAAAAUCAAAUAGCAUUAUAUUUUUAAUGUUGUUUCUGAUUUCUACUUCUUUUUUCUUUUUCCUUUGAUUUGUUUAUAUUUGCUGAUUAAAAGAUAAAAAAAGGGGAAGUUCUUACUUACAUAUUGCCCUGCCGGAGCCUUCAUCCCUUCUGUUUCAAAUCGGAAUUGGGUGGGCAAUGGUCUAAUUGAAAACGGCACACAGAGGGUAGAUUUUAGGGAAAUAGUCAUUUUCACUUAAUUAACCAUGCAAACAUCAAAAUUUCUCAAUGAAAUUUUACUACGACCUUAAUAAAAUCCUGUAGACAGUAAAUAAAUAAUAAAAUAUUAAUUUACUUGUCAAAAUUGUGGUCUCAAAACCAUUGUUCUGAUAUAACUGAAAACGUGCUGUUACCACUCUCCCCCUAAAGGAAUUUUUGUCCCCGAAAAUCUAACUAGAAAAUAAGUUCUGGUAUUGUACUUUCAUAGCUUCUUCUGGUUCCCAGGUAGCCUCUUCUAUUUUGUGACGUUUCCAAAAAAAUUUAACUAAAUCUGUACUUUUAUUUCUCAAUUCUUUAACUUCCUAAGCUAAAAUUCUAAUUGGUUCUUCACUGUACGUCAUACCUAGCUGGUUAUCAACAUCUGCUGGUGAAAUCACGUGUGAAGGAUCUGAUUGAUAUCAUCGUAAUAUUGAUACAUGAAAUAAAUUAUGAAUAUUCUCUAACUUUGACAUCAAAGCCAAUUGAUAAGCUACUGGUCCAAUCCUCUUAAUGAUCUUAUAUGGACCGAUAAAUCGCAGACUAAGCUUUUCUUUUCGACAAAAAUGGAGAACUUUUCUCCAAGGCGGUACUUUUAGAAAUACUUAGUCCUCGACUUGAAACUCUAUAUCUUUUUUUGUUCAAAUCUGCAUAAGAUUUCUGACGAUCAGAAGUAGCUUCAAAUUGUCACGUAUCACUUAACCUUUACUUUGGUUUCUCAAAUCAAAUCAACACUGAAUAACUUUUUCUUGAUCAGCUCCAAUAUAACAGAGUUCGACAUUUCUGACUAUAUAAAGGUUCAUAUGGUGCCAUUUUAAUGCUCACCUAAUAACUGUUAUUGUAUGGAAAUUCAACCAAUAGUAGAAAUCUCUUCUAGUUACCUUCAAACUCUAAAAUACAACAUCGGAGCAUGUCUUCAAGUAUCUAAAUUACUGGCCAAGACUGGCCAUUAGUUUGUGGAUGAAAUGCUGUAUUGAAAUGCAGUCGAGUAUCCAGAGCUUCAUGUAACUUACCCUAGAAUCUAGAAGUAAAUUGUGGAUUUCUAUCAGAGAUAAUGGAUACCGGCACACCUUGUAAUUUGACAAUCUCAAAAACAUACAAUUCUACCAACUUCUGAAAUGAAAAAUCCAUACGCACUGGAAUGAAAUGUGUGAAUUUCAUCAAAUGAUCUACAAUAACCCAAACAACAUCUUUUUUUCUCAAAGAUAGAGGCAAUCCUGAUACAAAAUCCAUUGUAACAUGUUAGACUUUUGUUAGGUAACUAAUGGAAGAGUGAUAAAAAUAUUUAAAUUUGAAAAUUUGAGUUGCUAAAAAGAAAAGUUCAUAAUUAGGUGAUCAAAAUAGAAUGAAUUGAAUAGUUGUGAGACUAUUCUUGUACUUUACCCUUUAAUUACUUUUUUUUAUGGAUAUGUAUUAUUAAUUUUAAAUUUAUAAUAAUGCAUUGCUAAAUAAUUGCAAAAAAAAAUUAUAGACAUUAAUUUUUUGGAGAGGAUAGGCAUCUCUAAAUAAUGAUUAUUUAGAGUUGAAAAUUGUCCAUAAAUAUUUUUGGCAAUUUGUUUUUGAGGUGUAUGGUUGAUAAAGUAUGAUCGAUAGAUUAUGAAGUGAAGCUAAAUGUGUGUUUGACUGGGUGAAAUGUAACACCUUAAACUCAGCCUAGACGUUACGACCAGAUCAGGAAGUGUUACGUAAUUGUUUGAAAAUUCAGUUCUCAUAUAAUUUUGGAAUCCGUUUUGAAUUCUUAAAAUUUCAAAUUAUUUGAAAACAUUCUUUGUCUAGCUAUUUUGUUGAAAACACUAUUUGCUUAUAUUAUAAAACUCAUAAUUUUGCAGCGGAAAAUUCUUUAGCAUUUUUUUUAAAAUGCUAUCCUUAUUUCUUGAAAUUCAUUACUUUUGUAGGAAAUAAAAGUGAUUUUUAUUGAUAAAAUAUUUUAACGACAUUUUAUGUAAAUCGAAAAUAAAAACCUCAAAAACAAAUCAGAACAGUCAAAAAGUCCAAAAUUUACAAAACACCAAAAUUCCCAAAUUUUAAAUAAUUAAAAUAAAUGCAAUAUCUUUUAUAACCGAGCUACCCUCGCACCGACCCGCCUAAGUUUGAGGAUUACUUGAAAGUAUCAUUUAAACAGAAAGUGAGUUUAUGAAACUCAGUGUAAAACAAUUAACUUAAAACAGUUAAAGCAUAUCAAACAAAUUUAACAGUAUCAAAGUCUUAACAAAACAAUACAGAUACAUAUUUAUUUUUCCUACCCCCAUCUGCUACACACCAUCUCCGACCAUCCCAACACACCAUAUGGGGUAUAAAACACCCAUCUAACCCUACACAUCACUUAGUGUCGUUUAAGAAACUUACAGAAGAAUCGUAGUUGCACUACCAGAUAAAUAGGUGAAUUAUCACCUUUUCAAAUAUACUUCCUCCACAUAGUAAAACCCAUCAUAAUAACAGAUACAGUACAUAUCAAUAAUCAGUAAUAAGCAUAACACAUACAUAUAGCAUCGAUGCAUAACAUAUAUAUAGUACUUUUACCAGUUUUCCUAUAGCCCAUUACAUAAUUUACUCGUCAUAUGCAGCUUCAGAUACAGAACAAAUAUCAAAAUUCAUGCGAACAGAUGACUAACUUUUUAUAUUUUUUAGUCCAUUUAAGCACAUAUUGACCCCAUGGAAGACCCAUAGUCGAUCUAAGUGACGUGAACGGUCCUGAGGAAAGUUUUAGAAUGUUGGGCCCAUACGCCCUGUGUAGCCUACAUGGCCCAAAUUGCUCAAACCGUGUGUCACACACGGUCCAACACAUGGCCUGUCACACAACCAUGUGUUGCACAUGGCCUACCAUAGGACCUAACACAUGACCGUGUGGCUCUGUUCGCUGAUUUUCAAGUUUCUCGUUACACUUCUGAUUCUAUUUUAACACGAAAGCAGCCACAAGAUAACCAUUACCUAAUACGAAAACCAAAUCACCAAAUGAGACAAUUUUUCUCAAACCCGAUUUACAAAAUCAAUUUUACCAAUAACAAAGUUAAUGAUGAAAUUCAGUCCAAAUCUCCAACCUUGAUUCUUACCCUCAAGAAAAAGUAGUCCAAAUAACGAUUCUAAGUCGUCGAGUAACUAAUCGCCUUGUGAACUACACCUAAAACCAAAACAAUUGAUUAACAUCGAUAAAUCACACCAACCAGAACUCAACAUAAUCGAAGCUAACGAAGGCAAGAUUCCAUAACAGAAGAGAAGUAGGCAAUACUUAUGCACGAAUCAAAUUACACUUAACAUAGCAGAGUAUCCACCACCGAUUUGGAAAGGCAUAAAGAACAACAUUCAAGAAUGAACAAAAGAUUGAGAAAAGAACAAGAGCAGGAAAAAGAAACGAAAAUUGAGGGCCUUCUCUACUAAAAUCCACGUGAAAGAAAAGAAAGUAAUAAAGAAAAAAAAAUAGAACCAGAAAGCAAAAAAAUCGAGAACAUGUAAACAAAUGGGAGCAAAAAUUGGGGAUUGAAAUUAUUUUAAUCAAUUAAUUCCCUGCCAUUUAAAAAAACAAUAAAAUAAAAUAAAUAUCUUAAUAACCACCCACUAAACUUAGAUAAGUACCCAGAUUCUUUUCAAGAAUUUGAAUUUAAUCUAAACUUAUCCACUUGAAUAACACAAAGCAUAAAAUAUUUCGCUUGCUUGCAUGGAAGCUUGAAUACAUGACCAAUGAGUACUCAAGAAUUUAACCACUAAACCAGUAAAUUUAUUCUUGUCAUAGAUUUAAUGAUAAUAAUAUUUAAGCUGGAUAAACAGAGAUAGACUUAGAAACAAAAAUAAUUGAAAUUUUCUAAAGAAGUGCAACUUAAACCCAAGACCUCAAACUCACAAGACACUUCACCACUAAAACAAACACUUUCUAAUGACAAAUUUUAUCAAAUUAUGUAUACGAAAUUUGGGGUGUUACACGGAAAGUGGAGGGAUGGGAGGAAGGAGUGAACAAGUGGAAAAAAAAUAAAUUUUGAGUAUGCUUAAUUGAAAAGAAAGUGAGAGGAAAGAAGAUAAGAGAAAUGAUCAUUUUCCAUUCCAAUGAAUAAAAAUGAAUCAUUCCAAAUUGGAAAGAUGAGAUGAAAGAAAAUGAGAAAUAUGUGUAUGAUAGUUUAAAAGAAUGUAUUUUUGAAAUGAUUUAUUUUCUUUCAUUUCAUUUUUUCAACUCUACCAAACAAUGAAUGGAACUGGAGUAAAAAUUAAAAGUAGAAAACUAGAAGAAUGAAAAAAUAAUUUUUAUUUUUAUUUUUCUAUUUUUCCUACCAAACACAUCUAUGAAAUUUUCCACCCGUUAAAUCUUCCAUUCUUUCAAUUUUUGUUACAGUCUAGAAAGCAAAACUUUAAUGUUGAAAAUUUAAUUCCAUAGCAGAUAGAUUACGAAGUGAAACUAAACGCUAAAAUGAUUAUAUUAUGAAUAUGAAAUCUCCAUUAAUUCUGAAACUGUAUUACCAAUGGAGAAGUAUUGAUUUCUAAUUGUAAAAAUGUGAAGAGAACAGGUUUACUUUUACAAGUAAGAAUUUUUUGAGCAUCCUUCAUAUUUUUACAAUUAAAAGCCAACUCCAUAGUCAAUUUGCUUUGAGAAUGAACUGUGUAUCUUCAAGACUUCCAGCUUCAGUACAGAUUAAGUUGAGCAUUGGAUGAACUUGCCAAGGCUUCUCAGACCAUUGCACUUCUUCCACUAUAUUCAGCAUUUCUUGAAAAUAUUCAUGCAACACUAUUGGUAACAUGGAUUUCUGACAUUAGAAAAGUAGCAAAAUUUGUGGAACUUUGAUAGCCCCAUUGACAAUAAGGAAUGAUGGGUUCCAUUCUUCUUAUUAAUCUCCCUUUUUUCCCCUUGAUUAAGCACUGGUUAUUUGAAAGCAAAACACAUAGUUGGAUUAGAUUGUAAAAUUAGCACCUAAAAACAUAAUUUUCAUUUUAGCACAGGGUGAUUUAGAUGAAACAACUCUAAUUUUUAAAACAAAUGCUGAACACACAUUAACUGAAAGGAACAAACCUGAAGAGGCAAGGAAGCUCAACCAAGACCACUGUGAUCUAUUUGUCUCAACAUUAAACAAUUAAAGAAGAUUAGAUAGAAACUUAGAGAACACUUCCAAAGAUAUAAGCUUUCUUCAAUUCAUCAAACGAUUACAUAAAUUUCUUAAAUUGCAAUCAAACAUAACAAACCUUAUACUUGACUAAAAGUAAACCAGCUUCCCCAUCAUUUAGGCUUCUCUACCAAGCAAUGUUUCAAAUGUUAUAAGGCUCAGCAUGGAACUCAUGGAUAGGUUUUAGGAGGCCUCUCUGAUACAGAAACAAUAUGAAGUGCAUUAACAGAUCAACAACUCCUAUUGGUAGGAAAUUCAAACAUCCUUAGUUUAAGAAAAUUACAUUUUAAUAGAUCAAAUUCAGUAUAGAAUAUCUUUACCUUGUUCUUAGCUUGGCGCCUUUGACUUGUCAGCCAUCUUACAAUACGAUUCAAUUGCUUUAACUCACCCUCUGGGGUUCGAUACCUCAAAAACUUUUAACGCCAAUGACAAGAUAACAAAUAAUUUAACAAGUAAAUGAAAUUGAAAUGCAUACCUUAAAACUCCUUUUUGGUACAAAAGUAAAAACACAUUUUACAGAAAAGAAAGCAAGGAAAAAUCCAAAUAUAGAAGUACAACAAUGUUGAAAUCCCAAGAAAAGAUAAAAGAACAUAAAAAUUAACAAACACAAGCAACUAAGUAGACAAAUAAUCAGUCUAACACAUAGAAAUAACUUAAUCCCUCAAUGCUAUCAUAGAGUGAAAUUGUUGGAAGGGUCUGCUUCUGCUGUUAGUUCUGCUGUUGAGAGACUUGCAAAGAGAUAUCCUAGUACACAAGGGCAAAUGAGUGAGCAAAGAGUUUACGUAUUAUAUAUAGAACAUGAUUCAUCGAGGAUGAAUCUUAUAUAUAUAUAUGGUUAAAAUACAAAAAUGAAAUUAAAUAUGGAGUUAAACACAUACCAAAAGUAAGUUAAUAACCACAAGCAUACUCAUCGUUCGAUGAUGUUUAGAAACCUUUGUUUGAUCUUCUUUAGCUCAAACACAACAUCCUUCAUAUCUUUUCUUUCUUCUGGCAACUCAGCUGAACAAUCCAAAGCUAACUCCAUGAUAGAAGAAAUACAAUUUGUGUUGGUGCAAGAGGCAGCAGCAAGCUGAUUUCAGCUUUGCUUAAACAGCAAGUCUCGAGGCUUGCAGCAGAAACAAUCAAGGAAGAAAAACUUACAAUGGAAAACAGAAAAGAAAGAGAGAGAUUUGAAUGAAAAUGAGCUAAAUUUUCAUUAACAUUUUUAAGAAGGCAUGAUGCCAAUACAUAUAAGGGAUUACAAUAGCAAAACAAACAAGUUACCACCUAAUAACUUACCUAACACCACAAAUUUGCCUAGUAACUUGGUAAACUUGUUUGAAUACAUAAACAGCUACCUAAACUUGUCAUUCAUGACUUAAUUACAUCAAAAUGCAGCUACCAACUAAGUUUGAUCCUAACUAAAUACAAAACAUUCAUUUAAAGAAACUAAAUGAAUAGCUUCAGCUUGCUGCACCAAUUUGCUGUUGAAGCACGUUCCCUGCAUGGCCACCUUUGCUGCUGCAUGGGAGCUGACUUCAACACUCCUCCUCAGCUUUUAUGCAGCAGACUCCUAGUUCCCUCUUUAGGCUUAGAAAUCUUGAUACACCAAGAGACUUUGUGAAGAUAUCAGCAAUCUGAUUUUCAGAGCUGCAAUGAAUCAGCUCAAUUUCUCGAGCUUGUUCCAUCUCCCUUAUCACAUGUAGUUUAAUAUCGAAGUGUUUUGUCCUACCAUGGAAGACAGGAUUUUUGGCAAUAGCAACUGCUGACUUGUUGUCACAAUGUAUCACAGUUGCUUCAUUCUGCUGUAGGUUUAAAUCACUCAAAAUUUUUCUCAGCCACACAGCUUGAUUAACAGCAUUAGCAGCUGCUACAUACUCAGCUUCAGCUGUUGACUGAGCCACCAUUGUUUGUUUUCUUGAGCUCCAACAAAUCAUUGCAGAGCCAAGUGUAAAAGCAUAACCAGAGGUGCUCUUCAUGUCAUCUUUUGAACCAGCCCAAUCGCUAUCUGUAUAGCCAAUCAAUUUCAACUCCUUGACCCUUUUGAAACAUAUACCAUGGUUCAAGGUACCUUUGAUAUACCUCAGAACCCUUUUUCCUGCUUUGUAAUGCUGCUGAUUACAGCAAUGCAUGAAUCGUGACAGCAUGCUCACAGCAAAUAGAAUAUCAGGUCUUGUUGCUGUCAAAUACAACAAACAGCCAAUAAGGCUUCUAUAAUCUGUUUCACAGACAGAUUCAUGUUCCUCUUGGCUCGAUAGCUUCAUGCCAAUAGCCAUUGGUGUGCUCAUUGGUUUACAAUUCUCCAUUGAGAAUUUAGCCAGCACUUUCAAGGCAAAUGUCUUUUGUUUCAAGAGGAUUCCUCCUUCUACUUGAUUGACUUCUAAGACAAGGGCUCUAGAUACCAAUAAUUUGCUUUAAUAACAAAAUUAUCAUCCUCUCUUCUUAAUAAAUCAGCAUCCACAAUGUCUAUCAUUCCUUCAGAUAAUAAUCUUUUCACCCAAUGCCUUAUGGUCAUUUCAUCACCAAAAAUUUCAUCUGUUGGCCUUUUCCUAGUGAAAGUUUCUAUGAGGACAAUUCCAUAACUAUAGAUGUCACAUUUUAUAGAAACAAUUCCCGUUGAUCCAAAUUCUGCAUUUUAAGCAUAAGUAAUCCUGGAUUAUUUCUAAUAUGUUUACCACUAUAUAUAGACAUACACAAAAAAUAAUCAUUAAUUAAAAAAACUCAAAAAUUCACCUGGUGCCAUAUAACCAAUAGUUGCAAGAGUCAUGGUUUGCUUCACUACAUCACCUUCUCCCAACAAUUUCGCAAUGCCAAAAUCUCCCACAUGAGCAACCAUGUCUUCAUCUAGUAGAAUAUUGCUUGGUUUUAGGUCACAAUGAAUUACAGGUGUUGGAUGUCCAGUGUGGAGAUAUUUUAGAGCAGCCGCAACAUCUACCAUUGUGUUGAUCCUUUGUAUGAUAUCAAGGAAACAACUGUUUGAAUGUAACCAUUUCUCAAGAUUUCCAUUAGACAUGAAAUCAAGCACCAAGGCUUUGAAGUCAACAUUGGAGCAGCAAGUAAUGACCUUGACAAGAUUACGAUGAACUAUGUUACGCAUAGCUUCACAUUCAAUGUCAAAGCUCCUAAAUGCUCCUUCUAUUUGCAAAUUGAAAACUUUUAUUGCAACUUCCAUUCCAUCCGAAAGCCUCCCUUUAUAUACAUAUCCAAAACUUCCUGAACCAAGCAUAUUGUGCUCCUCAAAUCCACUAGUUGCCCGUGAAAGUUCGGCAUGUGAAAUUCUUCUCCAUGUUCCCAAACAUAGUGAAUCAUCCGUAAUUGGUAGAGUUGUACUCCUAAUUCGGAAUCUUCUAUAUAUAAUAACUAAGACUAGUAGUAACAUGACAAUACAAAUUAUUGGUAAACCGUACCUUAAAUCAUGCAAUACACCCAUCUUGGAAUUUUUGCGGAUGUCAUUUUUGCAAGGUGGGACUAGCAAUCUUGGUGGACCACAAAGUGCAUAAUUCUUCAUGAAUGAUGUGCUUGGAAAGUUUGGAAAACAUCCUUUGCUAGGAAUUUCCCCUUCAAGUCUAUUGAAGGACACAUUAAAAUACUUUAGAUAUAAAAGCUUUUCCAAAGAUUUGGGAAUAACUCCAGAGAGAUUGUUAUUGCACAAAUUCAAAAAUGUCAAACUAAUCAAACCACCAAAUGAUUCGGGGAUAUGACCAUGUAUAUUAUUUGAUAAAUCUAAGAAAACCAAAGUUUCAAGACCCCCAAAUGUGGACAAGAUAUCUCCUGUGAAAAGAUUCCUUGAUAAAUUUAGUUUCAGCAGACUCCUCAAAUAUCCAACAUCAAGAGCAUGUGAACCGUUAAGGUAAUUUGAUGAUAAAUCUACUUCUAAGAUAUCUUUAAGUUUCCACAAAGUUGAGGGUAUUGCCGAACUCAAUUUGUUGGAAUUUAAAUAAAGAUAUCUCAAAGAAGUAAUAUUACCCAAACAAGAGGGUAUGGAUCCAUCCAGCUUAUUCAACCCUAAAAACAUCUCGUAUAGUCUCUCCAAACCACAGAGGCUUUUUAAGAUAGGUCCUCCUAAUUUAUUAGAGUAAAGAUCUAGACCUUGGAGAUUUUUCAUUCCUCCAAUUGAUGUCGGAAUAAAACCACUUAAUUUAUUAUGGCCAAGUUGUAAAAGUAAUAGGUUGCUUAAGUUACCUAUUUCUAUUGGAAUAUUGCCUUUAAGCUCACAAUCAGUAGCGUAAAAGUAUAUAAGGGAUGCUGAAAGGUUCCCAAUAUUAGUAGGAAGAGUGCUAUUCAAAGCAUUUUCUAAAAUAUCUACUCUUGUCAAAUUCUUGCAAUUUGUCAAAGAAGAAAGAAAGGCCCACUCAUGAUUUAUAGUAGAUCCCAUGGUCAAAUAGUUGUUUGUUAUUCGGAACCAUUCAAGGUGUCGUAAGUUACCAAACGUUUCAGGAAUUGGGCCAGAGAAGAAGUUAUCUCCCAAGUCUAGAACCUUAAGCAUGGAAGCAUUCAAGAUAGAGUUGGGAAUGUUUCCGAGAAGUUUAUUUCGACGCAACGAAAGAAAAUUCAGCUUUGGAGCCUCGAUCAUGGGUGGCAAGGUACCUGUAAAAGUUUCAUCUUUUAGUGUAUAUAUAUAUUCUCAUUCAAUACCAAAUUCUCGAUAUAUAUAUUACACAAAUACAUUUUUAAAAGGAAAAAUGUAAAACUUCAAAUCAAAUAAAAAUAAAAUUUUCACAUGGAAAAAUGCAAUUAAAUCAAUCUUAAAAAUGACACAUAAUAAGAAGUUCUGAAUAGUAAUUAGUCACUUAUGAUUUGUAUUAAAUAAUAAAAAUAAAUAAAACCAUUUUUAAUAAAGGGUGCAUAAAAAAUUAAAAUAAAAUUUUGAUUAAUUGAUAAAUUUAAGGUUUUAUUAUUGAUGUGAGUUCAAAUCUCACCAUAAUUUUUUUUUACUUUUUUUAAAUAAAAAGUAUUAAAUACCUUUAAAUAAUAAAAUUUAUUUUAAAUACAAAAGGAUAUUAUUAUAAUUGCUCUAAUCGAGUUUGUGCUUGGUUAACUCAUGACACUUAACCAAGCACCAACUUAAUUAGAAACUUAAAUUACAACAUAGAUAUUCACAUGCACCAAAAAAAGUAAAAAAAAAAAUUAGUUUCUAAUAACAAAUUUUAAUGAUUUAUAUAACAAGUAACUUUCUAAUUCACAUAAUUUUUUUAUAAAUAAUAUAUUUAUAUAAUCUAAUCUAUUAUAUUUAUAUUAAUUAUAUAUCAUCAAUGAAUCAUCAGUAAAUUUUUAUGAUCAAUUUACUGAUUAUUAAGUAAGAGUAAAAAAUUAAAUUAAAUAAUGAAAAACUAUUUUUUACAUUUGGUACAUAUGCUUUAUGAUGAUAAUUAAAAAAAAGUAUUAACACUAUUUCUGAAUUAACAAAAAUAAUUAAUAUAUUUUAAUUAUAUUUAUUAUUUAUUAUUUUGAAUAAUAUUGCUUUUUUUAAUUACAUGAAAUAAAAACAUAUUAUAUAUUAAAUAUGAUACAUAUGCUUUAAUUAUGGCUUAAAUUUUAUUAAUAUAUUUGAACUAUUAAAUAAACUAAAAUAUUUUAAUUAUGUUUAGCCGUGUGAAUAAAAAACUAAUUAAAAAAUUAUUUAAAAAAUUAAAUGUGUAAAAUCAAGUGGAAUAUCAUAAUCUAUGUAUAUGAAUGUAUAAUGUGAGAAAUGAUUAUAUGAAAUUGAGAUAUCAUGCCAUUUGUGUUUCUAGUAAUUUAAUGUCAUUUCAUUAUUUUCAUCUUAAAUUUCAGCAUAUCAUGUUGGAUUUGAUUUUUUUUUUCAAGAGAAAAAUGUUGAAAUGACAUUAAAUCAUUAAAUUAUUAAAAAUGAAUACAAAUGACAUGGUAUCCCAGUUUCAUACAAUCCCUUUUCAUGUAUAUGUAAUAUGUGGUUGUUUCAAUUUUUAAAAUAAAAUAUAUUUUCCACAUUGGUUUCUUUUCUUCCAAAGAUUAAGUAUUUCUAAUAUUUUUAUAUUUGUUGCUUAUAUAAAAUAGAUUAGUUUAUGCAAUAAAAAUUUAAUUACUUUUUUUAAGCUUAAUGGAAAUUAAAAGUUUUAAAAUAAAUCAAUUCAAAUAAAUUUUAUUGUUUAUUAUCAAAUUAAUAAAUUUUAAUGAAGUAUAUGAUCAAAAAAGGAGAACAAAUGAAAGUGAAAAACAUACCUUCCAAAUUGUUGUCAUAUAGAUAUAUUCCUUCGAGCAUAGUUUAAUUAAGGGUCAGUUCUUCAUUACUUUUGAAAAGUGUUUUUGAAAAGUUUAGUUUCAAAUUUGAGUGUUUAGCAUUGCUGUCAAAAAGUAGUUUUCGGAAAUAAAAUGUCCAUUUUAGACAUGUUAUUAUCAAGUAACAAAUAUGCAUUUAAAUAAUAUUUAAAUUAGUUAAUAUUAUUAUAUUUUAGUAAGAAUAUAAAAAAAUAUUAUAACUUGUUGUUAAUAUUUUAAUAUAUGAAAUAUAAAUUUUAAAUAUUUUUAAGAAAUAAAUAUUAAUUAUUUAUAAAAUUUAAUUAGAAUAUAUAAACUAUAUUUUAAAUAUUUAAAUACAACCAUUAAAUAUUUGUAAUUAGUAUUUUAAAAAAUAUUUUUUAUUUUUAAUUAAUGAUUUUAACACAUUUGUAAUUAAGCACCAAGAAAAAAAAGGAAAAUACUAUGUUAUUGGAGGGUUGAAAAAGUAAUUAAGCACCAAAAGUGCUUUUGAGGAAGGAAAAGCUAAAAUUUUUAGCUUCUCCUUCUCAACUCCUUUUGAGAAGUGCUUUUCAAAAGUACUUAUGAAAAGCUAAAAAUGAGACUAACACUGAAUAAUAAUUAGUUAUGAUUUGGGAAACAAAAAUGUUAAAGCCAUUAUUUAUCUUUAUUAAAUUAUAGUGUAAAAUUUAAAGAUUAUUAUCUUCUCAAUUUUUUUUUUAUUUUUCGUAUAUUUGAAAUUUAAUCUUUAUAUUUUUUAUUUUCUAUGAUUUAGUCUCUCUACUUUUUGAAUUGAAAAUUUUAGGUUCAUUUAUUAAUACAGUAAAAAAAGUUUUUGUGUUAGUAUGGCAUUUUGAAAAAUAAAAUAAACUUGAUAUCUAUGUUUUUAAUUAUUCCAAAUAUUGUUUUAUUAUUUCAAGAUAAAUUAUUUGUGUCUAGACCAAUUUCUUAAGAACUAUUGUUGCAUGUUUAAUUAUUCAAAAGAAUUGUUGAUUGAGUCUUAGCUUGAUUGGCAUGUGCAUUGUUACCAAUGUAGGAGAAUGUGGGUUCAAGUAUGUUGAAGUGUAUUAUUCUCUUGUUUAUAAAUUGGGGAGUUGGUUAAGUAUUAAAUUUUGAUAUAUUUUAAAAUAUUAAAAAUUUUUUAAAAUAUUUUUUAAAAAAAUUGAUUGUACCACAAUAUACAAUUUUAAUAUAAAUUUUUUAAUUUUUAAAAAAAAAUAUUAGCGACUAUAUACCUUAUUUCAAGUUACACAGUUUUUACUAGUUUUUAACUUUUUUUAAAAAAAAUUUAUCGUCUUUUAUAAUUUCUAAUAAUUUUUUAUAUUUUUGCAAUAUUUAAAAAUUUCUACCAAUUUUUAAUAAUUUUAUUAUUUUUUUAUUUUUACACAAUUAUAUAUUUAUAAUGUAGUUAUUUUUUUAUAUAACUUUACUUGAAAUUUUAAAGAUUUUUUUGGUUUUUUUCUAGAUGAUGAUGCCAUCAUGAUGUCAUCAUAUACCACAUGGCAAUUUAUGAUUAGUUGGAUAUCUCAAUCUAAUUUUUAAUGUCGAAUGGACUAAACUAAGAACACCUGAUAAUGUUAGAGACUAUACUAGCAAUGUUUGAUAAUAUUAGGUACUAAAGUGAGCAAAUAAAUAUUAAGGACCAAAGUAAAAAAAAAAAAAAGCAAUAUGUUGUAGGGAAUAAACUGUGCAUUAAGCCAUUAAAAAUAUAUCUAUAAUAUAUUUAAAUGCAUGGAUUUUGAGAAGCUUUUGAACUGAUAAUUAUAUAGUCUUUGUUGUUUACUAUAUUAUUGAAUUUGUUAUUUUAAAUAUUUUUUUUACUUUUAAGAUUUAUCUAAGAAUUUUGGUUUUACUAAAAUAUUUGGUUAAGUAAAUUCACUUCAUAAGAAAAUUUAGCAUCCUUAUAAAUAACAAUUUUGAUUCUAUUAAAAAUAUUAUUUUAAAAAAUAUAUAACAAUAAAUUAAAAUUUAUAUUGAAUUACUUUAUACUUCAAUUAUUAUUAGAAACUUUAUCAUACACAUACGUGUAUGAGAAUCACGUAUUUAGAACAUAAAUUUAUGUUUUAAAAUAACUUAUGAUAAAUAAUGAAAUGUAUAAUUUGAAACUAUUUAAUAAUAACACAUGGCAUAUCUACCAUAUUAAAAUAAAAAUAGAUUAAAUUGUAAGUAAAACAUAAUUUAAACAUAUGAAUACAUCUAAUUAAGAAUACUAAAUGAAUACAGUUAUUUAUGAUGAUGUUGUUGUCGAUUCCUAAGUUGGUGUCGAGUUAAUUUGUAACAUCAUCAAUUUCAGUGAUAAAUUUAAGGUUUUAUGUAUUGAUGUGGAUUCAAAUAUCACCAAUUUUUUAAAUAAAAUUUAAAAUAAAUAUAUUUUCCACAUUGGUUUCUUUUCUUCUACCGACAAAGGAUUUCUAAUGAUUUUAAAAAAAAUUUUUCUUAUAUAAAAUAGAUUAGUUUAUGUAAUAAAAAAUAAUUUCUUUUUUAAAGUUUAAUGGAAAUUAAAAAAAAUCAAUUCAUAUAAAUCUUAUUGUUUAUUAUCAAAUUCAACACAAUGUUUUUGGAGUUUGGAAAAAAUUAAAGUGAAAAACAUACCUUUUAAUUUGUUGUUAAAUUAAAAAAUUAAAAAUAAAUCAAUUCAUAUAAAUUUUAUUGUUUAUUAUUAGAUUAAAAUGAUAAAAGUAUAUGACAUAAAUAGAAGAAACAAAUUCAACACAAUGUUUAUGGAGUUUGGAAAAUAUUAAAGUGAAAACCAUACCUUCUAAUUUGUUGUCAAAUAGAACUAUUACUUCGAGCGUAGUUGAAUUAAAAAUACUUGAUGGAAUCUUACCUGCACACAUAGUCGAAAAAUCAAGGUGUCAAACUGCCUAUUUUGUUAGCAUAAGUUAAAGAGGUGUUCUUUUCUGUUCUACAGUAAUUUGGAGAUGUUACAUUUUAAUAUAUUUCAGCAUAUGUUUUUCAUCAAAUGAAAUAAAAACUUUUUCCUUCUGUAAUCUAUUACAAAUCGAACUAUUUUAUUAAAAAAAUACUUUGAAUUCAAGAUAUCAAAGAAAUUGAUUACCUUCUAGAUUAUUAAAUCCCAAAUAUAAUUCUCUGAGUUGUGUCAGAUUUCCAAUACUUCUUGGAAUGAUCCCCGUCAAUUGAUUCAAGGACAAGGACAAAAUUUUAAGGUUGCUGCACUUGCCCAUACUUGACGGAAUGUUACCAGAUAACUCAUUUCUAUCUAAGUAAAGCCCUUCAAGCUUGGGAAGAUGUUGACACAUAUCAUUAUGAAAACUACCUGAUAGGCUAUUGUUGGAGAGAACAAUGGUCUUCAGAGAAGAAAUGUUGAAGAUCGAAGUUGGAAUCUGACUUGUAAGGCCUUUAAUUGCUUGAAUAUUAAGCAAUUCCAAACCAUGAAGAUUACCGAUUUCCUCAGGAAUUUGACCUGCACACAUAGUCGAAAAAUCAAGGUGUCAAACUACUUAUUUUGUUAGCAUAAGUCAAAGAGGUUUUCUUUUCUGUUCUACAAUAAUUUGGAGAUGUUACAUUUUAAUAUAUUUCAGAAUAUGUUUUUCAUCAAAUGAAAUAAAAACUUUUUCCUUCUGUAAUCUAUUACAAAUCAAACUAUUUUAUUAAAAAAAUACUUUGAAUUCAAGAUAUCAAAGAAAUUGAUUACCUUCUAGAUUAUUAAAUCCCAAAUAUAAUUCUCUGAGUUGUGUUAGAUUUCCAAUACUUCUUGGAAUGAUCCCCGUCAAUUGAUUCAAGGACAAGGACAAAAUUUUAAGGUUGCUGCACUUGCCCAUACUUGACGGAAUGUUACCAGAUAACUCAUUUCUAUCCAAGUAAAGCCCUUCAAGCUUGGGAAGAUGUUGACACAUAUCAUUAUGAAAACUACCUGAUAGGCUAUUGUUGGAGAGAACAAUGGUCUUCAGAGAAGAAAUGUUGAAGAUCGAAGUUGGAAUCUGACUUGUAAGGCCUUUAAUUGCUUGAAUAUUAAGCAAUUCCAAACCAUGAAGAUUACCGAUUUCCUCAGGAAUUUGACCUGCACACAUAGUCGAAAAAUCAAGGUGUCAAACUACUUAUUUUGUUAGCAUAAGUCAAAGAGGUUUUCUUUUCUGUUCUACAAUAAUUUGGAGAUGUUACAUUUUAAUAUAUUUCAGAAUAUGUUUUUCAUCAAAUGAAAUAAAAACUUUUUCCUUCUGUAAUCUAUUACAAAUCAAACUAUUUUAUUAAAAAAAUACUUUGAAUUCAAGAUAUCAAAGAAAUUGAUUACCUUCUAGAUUAUUAAAUCCCAAAUAUAAUUCUCUGAGUUGUGUUAGAUUUCCAAUACUUCUUGGAAUGAUCCCCGUCAAUUGAUUCAAGGACAAGGACAAAAUUUUAAGGUUGCUGCACUUGCCCAUACUUGACGGAAUGUUACCAGAUAACUCAUUUCUAUCCAAGUAAAGCCCUUCAAGCUUGGGAAGAUGUUGACACAUAUCAUUAUGAAAACUACCUGAUAGGCUAUUGUUGGAGAGAACAAUGGUCUUCAGAGAAGAAAUGUUGAAGAUCGAAGUUGGAAUCUGACUUGUAAGGCCUUUAAUUGCUUGAAUAUUAAGCAAUUCCAAACCAUGAAGAUUACCGAUUUCCUCAGGAAUUUGACCUGCACACAUAGUCGAAAAAUCAAGGUGUCAAACUACUUAUUUUGUUAGCAUAAGUCAAAGAGGUUUUCUUUUCUGUUCUACAAUAAUUUGGAGAUGUUACAUUUUAAUAUAUUUCAAAAUAUGUUUUUCAUCAAAUGAAAUAAAAACUUUUUCCUUCUGUAAUCUAUUACAAAUCAAACUAUUUUAUUAAAAAAAUACUUUGAAUUCAAGAUAUCAAAGAAAUUGAUUACCUUCUAGAUUAUUAAAUCCCAAAUAUAAUUCUCUGAGUUGUGUCAGAUUUCCAAUACUUCUUGGAAUGAUCCCCGUCAAUUGAUUCAAGGACAAGGACAAAAUUUUAAGGUUGCUGCACUUGCCCAUACUUGACGGAAUGUUACUAGAUAAUUCAUUUCUAUCCAAGUAAAGCCCUUCAAGCUUGGGAAGAUGUUGACACAUAUCAUUAUGAAAACUACCUAAUAGGCUAUUGCUGGAGAGAACAAUGGUCUUCAGAGAAGAUAUCUUGAAGAUGGAAGAUGGAACCUGACCAGAUAAUUGAUUGAGUCCCAAGUUCAAGAUCUCUAGAUUAGAUAUGUUAACAAGUGUUUCAAGGAUUGUGCCUGUAAAGUAAUUAUUUUUCAUUUGCAGCCUUUGAACUCUCUGUAAGUUCCCAAGCCAUGAUGGAAUUUCCCCAUUCAGACGGUUGUAGCUUAAUUGAAGGAUCCUCAAACGAUGCAAUUGGCCCAAUUCUUUAGGGAGAUGGCCAUAGAAAUGGUUGCUACUCAAGUCGAGAGAGAGUAGAAAUGAAAGAUUUCCAAGAUGUGGAGGGAUAGUACCCCUAAGAUUCAUGCUUGUAAGAUUCAAAGCUGUAACUCUUUUAUGGAGGAUGCCACAAGAGACACCAAUCCAAUUGCAAGCAGAGGUUGAGGCCGUCCAAUUGUUUGCCAAGACAUUUUGAGGACCGGCAAUGCGAUCCUUAAACUCGAGAAGUGCAAACUGAUCGGAGUUGAGAUUCCUGACCGUCAUAGCCAAGCAAAGUACGGAACAUGGUAUGAAUAAAGCUAAGAGAAUAUGAAAGCAAGUUUUGCAGUUCAUGAUUGCAAGACGGAAUAAGGCAAGAAAAUAAAAAAAGUAGGAAAAGGGAAGUUGAGUUGAUAAAAUAGUUUGGAUGAUGAAGAAAAGCCUAGAGAGCAUGCUUUAAUAUGUUUCAACCCUCGCACACUUGAUAAACUUGAUAAAAAUAUUUUGAUCUAAUAAAUGUAAAAAAAUUUAAACAAAAUAAGGUUCAAAUAAUCUAUUUGUCCUUAUAUUUUGAUAAAAUUUGAGAUUAGUCCUUAUACUUAAAAGGUUAAAAAUAAAGUUUUCUUUUUUAUUUAAAAAUCUUAGUCCUAUCGUUAAUUUUUUUUUGGUCAAAAUUUGUCAACUGUACAUAUUAAUUAGGUUUCCCUUAUAUGUCGUUGUAUAUGACUAACACAAAAUAAGCAAGUUGACAAAUUAUGACAAAAAGUAUCAAAGAUGAUAAUAAUUUGAUUAAAAUUUUUAAAUUGAAUUAAUAACCUUUAACAUAUAAGGAAUGGAUAUCAAAUUUUUAUAGGAAAAAAGGGACUAACAACAUAUUUUAACCACAAAAUAAUACGAGUGAUUAGAAUGAAUCUAAAAUUUUAUAGAAAUAAAAGAGACUAACAACAUAGUUAUAACUUUGAAAAUUAAAAU